rnacentral:lncRNA from 1 species
UGGCUGUUACAACAAAUAGGAACUAGAUUAGCAAACACAAGAUGGUGAUAUUGAGGUAGCAACUUGUGUAUGUGGGUGUGGGUGUGUGUUCUUUUUCUGUCUUUUUCUUCUUCUUGUGUCGGACCCGAAAGGCGGCAAGAGUUGUGUGUAAAACAGAUGAAGAGAGAAGGGGGAGGAGCUGAGCUGACCCCAUGUGAAGCCCUCGCGCAAUCGCUCUUCACGACGACCCCGACGCAUCUGCGAGCGCUGUCGACAACCGGGAGGCCUGACACGAGCUGAAAGUGGCCUUCAACCUCCACCAGCGCCUGCUCCGCUGUGACCAUCAGCACGGGCGUCGACAUGGCCUCGCGCAGGAGCGGCCCCCGCUGCUGCAACCAACCAAGCAACAAGGUUCAAAGUCAAGCAAGGGAUCAAGAAGAAGAAGCACCAUCAAGAGAGGAGAUGACAGAGACUACAAGAUCAGCAGGAAGAAGCAGCAUCAAGAGAGGACAUGGCCAGAGACUACAAAGAUCAGCAAGAAGAAGCACCUGAUCGGCAGCGUGGGAAGGUGGCUGCUGCUGCUGCUGCUGCUGGGACUGGAGGUAGGCGCGGAGGUCGUCGUAGCUGAGGAGGGAGAAGUUCUCGGGCCACUCGCCGGAGAUGAUGGCGUCGGGGUUCUCGUCGAGCCCGAGCCGGAGCCCGCUCCCGUCCAUGAACGUGGACGCCCGGCACCCGAAGCUCCCUGCGCCGGUGGCUUUGCCCCUUCUGGCCUCAGCCUUGGCCCCUUUGAACAUGGAGCAGCUCUGCAAGGUAUUGAUGCACGCCAUGGAUGCUACUCUUCCUUGUCUCGUGUGGUGGAUGUUGUCUGACUGUGUUCUCUUGCAGAUCCCAGCAGGAGGGCUCCAUUUAUAGGGAGUGAAGCUGGAGGCGCUGGGAUCGCUCCAUGCCCAUUGUCAGUGAGCUGAGCUGGAUGGGCAUGCUUGCAUGGGGAGGGAGGGGCUGGCCCACCGGUGAGUGAGCGACUGGUGCUGCUGAGAUCCCACUUUGACUUGACGACUGAUGAGUGUGCUGACAGAUAAAUAUCUGUGUGAUCAGUGAGCUUCAGCCAAGGUAGGUAGGUAGAAUCAUGGCGGUGAAUUCCUUGGGAGAAAGGGUGGUUGAUCAUGGCGUUUUUAACCCCUGGGCUGGGGUGGUAAUUCAUGGAGGAUCUGGAUGUGCACCUGACUCUGAAUGUGAUGACAAGUUGGAUCUGGACUGGGCGUGUUUUUGUCCCAGCCCGGAAUCUCUGGUCCUCGGAUGUGGAUUGACGUGGAGUUUCCCGGACACGCGGUGCUUCCACUGGGAACGGCGGCCCGCCGGAGCGGGGCCCGGCGGCCGGCGUGGCGGGGCGCGAGUGGCCGGCGGGAUUCCCGUGGGGCCCGGUCACGUGGCACCGGAUAAGGAUGGAGGAGUGCCGACCCUUCACUCCCUCCGGCCGGUACGGUUGGCGGAGAGCCGGAGGUCGACGUUGCAUGCCGUUUUCUUCCGCCAACUCCGGCCAGUGGGUUGGGCUGUCGCCGUGCGGGCCGGGCAUGCUGACCUGUCGGAGCCGGAAGGGACGAUGAAUGAGCCCGCGGUUUCGCGUGAAUGAAUCUGCGGCGGAAGCUGGCGAGAGAGAGAGAGGAUCCAGCGCUCCAAAACGGGGCUGGAAGAUCAUGCUGCGCAGAAUCUCCCAUCCCUGGCAACGAUGCAGCUCGUGGAUUGCGGGCCUUCAAGCCCAAUAACGUGGUGAAGUUGUUAACCCUAGUUGACUCUAGGCAGGCCCAGGCCGCACACGUGGCAAUGGAUAUGGAUCAUCACUCUAUCCAUGUGUUUAUAUGUUGUGGUAUGGAGGUACAUACGAACAUAGCCACCCAUUUAUUUCAAUGCAUGUCCAUGCUUGUUCUGGCUUGCCUCUGUUCCAAGCUAGAGGAACUAUCAACUUAGAGGUAGAUUAUAGUCAAGAAGAAGAUGAUAUAUGUUUUCUCAUCUAUGUUCCUCUGUAUUGUCAUUGUCAGGGUGCAACUUAACAAAACACCAUUUGUUCCAGUUGUGAGAAUUGAUCGAUCGAUUACAAGCCCAGUGAUUGUGAAACAACAACUUUCUUAGUGAACAAACCGAUAAAAUCAAGAUACAUACAUGAUAUAUUGGAUACAGAAAACAACAAGACCCAUUUUUGUUUUAAAAUGAGAACAUGAAGAAGGUAAGGUGGCUAUGGAUAUAUAUGGUGAGUGUUCAUUUCAUGUGAGCAUGCUUGGCUGUGCAACGAGCUGGAGAAGUUUGGGAUCCUGUAGAUGUACCAGAGAGUGUGCUCGGAGGUGUAUCGGGUGAGCGGGUCGCCGUCUGGUCCGCCCUCACCCCUUCACAAUAUCAUCCACCCAUAGGAUGCCACCUUCGGCAUUAUGGGCGUCUUCGCCCAACUUCAUGCACCGUUGGCCUAGAUUCGGGGAGACGACAUGUACCAUGGCCUACAAAAAUAGUAGAGACCCAAAUUACCAUUGGUUCAGAAACAAAUGUUUGUCAAAUUUCAUAAGGCCUUGUACAAUGCGAGGUGCUUAGGGAUGCAUUUAGAGAAAUAAACAAGCAUUUCUUAAGCACUGGUGCUUAAGAAAAACUUAGAUCAUUUUACUAGACACUUUUGCAUUGUACAAGGCCUAAAAAGAACAAAAAAAUGAAAUGGUUGGUCAUAUGGAUACACCCUCAUGUGAAUCAAGGGUGCAGAAGUUGGUUGAGAUAUUUUGCUGGAUUGGGAGGCGCGCCAUCCGGAAGUUACCACUAGUACAUAGCAUGGCUAAUGAAGGAUCGACAUGCGCUAAACGUCAGGGGGAGGGGGCAGGAGUGAGUAGGUGGCUACCAAAUUUAAUUUUUUCUUAGUUGUUUUCAUAGGCUAAUGUGGAAUUGUAAGUUCUCUAGAUAUGCAAGUAGGUGAUACACUCUAUAUGAUGAGUUACAACAUGCUAGCAAGCUACACAAGGCAACAAACAAUCAGGUACUAAGUAAAGCUAGGUUCAGAGACAACCAAAAGUGAUGGAGACGAAGAUGUAAUCUGAAGUUCACACUCUUGGGGGAGUGCUAACCUCCAGCGGAGAGCCGGGAAACAAUGAAUGCUCUCAUAUCAACGAAUGUCUCACCUUAGUUUUCGAGAACCUUGGUCAACGAAUGUCCAAGUUCCCUCUCACUAGGGGUAGCUCUUGGGUGAGCUCCCAACCUUCACAAAUGAGCUCGGGGCACAACCACAUGAAUUAAAAGCUAAGGUGUGCCCGGAUAAUUGACUCUUGAUUUGGUGGAUCAUCGUUUGUGCUUCGGUGUGUUUCGAUGGCGGUGUUUGAUAUCACAUGGUCAAUUUAUUUUAGAUAGAUUCACUUGUUUUUAUCUACCAGUCUUAUUAUCUGAUAGUAAAGUGGUGAAGUAAUAGUUUGAUAACGUGUCUUUCAUGAGUUAUUUGUCCUCGAAUCCCUGAUCUUAAGUCAUCAUGGGGUGAAUUGCUCUUGGCAAUCUUUGAGGUUUACUCGUUUUAUGCAAGUUUGAUCUUCUGUACAUAUGAAUAACGAGCGAAAUGUGAAGCUGCAAGAGAAACCUUCGAUUUAACUACCAAAUUACCGAGACUAUUUACUGUUUGGGUUAUUGUUCAUGUUUGCAUUUUAUCCCUUCAACUAAUAAGGUCAGGUCGUCUAAGGUCGGGGUUUCAACCUCCUUUUUUUGAAGAAAAGGUUGAUCAUUUUGCUAAAAGAGGAGAAAAGGUUGAUCAUUUUGCUAAAAGAGGUUGCUGCUUGGCCGACCUAUUGGGAGCACAAUCAACUUAACAAACAAGAUAUUUGGCCAAUUUCUUUUGAACAAACAAGGUCUUCAACUUUUUAAUUGAGAAUUUAAAGGGUUAUUAUCCAAAUAUUAUUUAUUAAAAUAACAUUUGUAAUGCUUAUAAACUCAAAGAACAAUAUAAAAAUAAUGAAACCCAAUAUAAGAUUUUCAAUAUAUAGUGCAAUACAAAGGAACUCCUAUAUUUGGGACCCGAUAAAUCCCAAACGUUCGGGAUUUGAUAUGGCAAAUAGGACGUUUUUGGUGGAAUUUGUAGUUAUGUGAGUAUGACAACUUUAGUUGGUAAAUAUGGCAAAUCUGUGCUCAUUGGUUUUUUUUCUUCAGAAAAUUACCGUGCGUGUCAACUAAACUUGCCAUCCUCGCGUUACUAAUAUUGUCAUAAAAAUGUUCUAUUUGUCAUGCUCAAAUCCCAAACAUUCUGGAUUUAUCAUUUCCGUAUUUUGUGGUUAAGCCAAUUUAUAGUGUAAUUAUGUUUGACGUUCAGUAUAACUUACUACUACACAGUACUACUUUCUCCGCCCGGAAUUCAGUACUUAUCUAGCACUAGAUACAUCCUUUGUUUUUUGUGGUAAGUAUUAUUUUUCGUUUCCAAAGUUCAUUUUAAAAAGCUUCCAGUUGACUGGGCUGACCUAAGAGCAUUACUAGUAGAACCCUCAAACCCUCAAACCCUUAUAGCAGUUUUAAGGGUUGAGAAGUGCCAGUUUUUGACACUUUUAAGGGUUGAAAAACAGGGGAAAGACUAGAACCCUCAAACCCAACCCGUAAACUGCUUUAAGGGUUGGAUUUGAGGGUUCUAGUCUUUGCCUCAACCCCAACCUUUAAAACUGUCAUUUCAUAUAUCACACAUUUCAUCACAUUUCAUCAUAUGACAUAUCACAAAUUCCAUCACAAUUGACAUAAAACAAUAAUCAUUCUAGUUAUUAUUACAACACCGAAUAAAAUAAUAAUCAUUCAAAUUAUUACAACAAUGUUUGAGCAAAUUACACUAAUUGUUCGAAUCAAAUAGGACAUAGAAAAGUAAAACAAAGAUACAUCAUGGGCCAAUGCGCCGCCCACCCAACUGCCAGUGGUGCUCUACUAGAUCAUCCCGGAGCCGACCAUGAGUGGUUGCAUCCUUGAUCUGACGAUGUGCUUGAAGAAAAGCGUGUAUGCGAGAAGGGUUUCGUUCCGGUUGCACACAGGUACCAACAUUGUCAUAGAAACAGGGGAGGUUUAACCCUCUCUCAUCCUCUAGGAUCAUGUUGUGUAGAAUCACACAACAUUUCAUGAUGUUCAUCAAGGUUUUUUUGUCCCAAAACCGGGCUGGACCACAAACUAUGGCAAACCUUGCUUGCAAAACACCGAAAGCUCUCUCAAUAUCCUUGCGGCCUGCCUCUUGUGCCUUGGUGAAAUGAGCCUCUUUUCUUGUUAAGGGCACCCCAUUUUUCUCCUUGAUGGACUUCACAAGAGUUGCCCAUUCGGGAUAGAUGCCAUCGGUGAGAUAGUAUCCCAUUGAGUACUCAUUGUCCAUGAUUUUGUAGUUGCAAGCUGGAGCAUCCCUAGAAAUUAAUCUUUUGAACAAAGGAGAUCUAUUGAGGAUAUUGAUAUCAUUGAGUGUUCCCGGUAACCCAAAGAAUGCAUACCAAAUCCAUGUGUCCUGAGAUGCUACGGCCUCAAGCACAAUGGUAGCAUCACGGCUUUUACCGCAAUACAUUCCGUGCCAUGCCUUUGGGCAAUUUUUCCACCUCCAGUGCAUGCAAUCAAGACUACCUAGCAUCCCCGGCCAUCCCAUUUUUUCAUUCAUUUCCAUUAAUCUCUUUGUAUCUCCCUCGUUUGGUGCCCGAAGAUAUUGCUCACCGUACAACCGGAUGACCAACUUGGCAAACCUACAGACUGACUCCGUGGUUGUAUCUUGCCCAAUGCGAAGAUACUCGUCGGUAUAAUCCGCGGGUAUGCCAUAAGCGAGUACCCGCAUUGCCGCCAAUAUCUUUUGAUAUGCACUAAACCCCAUGAUACCGGCGGCGGAUCUACAACGUUUGAAGUAAUAUGAGGCGGCCUCACAAUCGGUGACAAUCUUCACAAACAAACUACGCCGCAUUCGGUACCUUCUGCGGAAGAGACGAGGAGGGUAUGUAGGUACCUCGGAGAUGUAGUCUUCCAUCAAAUGUUCGUGUCCGAGAGCGCGGUUCCGGUAGUGGUGACUCGCCCCAUCUUCGACCCUCUCCUCUGAUCCAUCAGCUUCACGCGGUUUUCAAAGGAUUGCACGUCGAUGAGGAGGCUCAUCAUCUCGACGUCGUCGUCUUGCAACAACUCAUCGAUGUCCGAAUCGUCGGAUGACGACCAACCCGACGACUCGGACAACGAGUCCAUGUCGUUGUUGUUCACCUCCAUCUACACAAUACAACAAACAAUAAAUUGUGAGUGCCAACAAUGAAUCAAAAAGGAAAAAAAUAAAUCAAAAAAAAAGAAAGUAUAGUAUACCUGCAGGGAGCUCGGGGCAGCGGCGCGGCUGCCUCUGGCCNNNNNNNNNNNNNNNNNNNNNNNNNNNNNNNNNNNNNNNNNNNNNNNNNNNNNNNNNNNNNNNNNNNNNNNNNNNNNNNNNNNNNNNNNNNNNNNNNNNNNNNNNNNNNNNNNNNNNNNNNNNNNNNNNNNNNNNNNNNNNNNNNNNNNNNNNNNNNNNNNNNNNNNNNNNNNNNNNNNNNNNNNNNNNNNNNNNNNNNNNNNNNNNNNNNNNNNNNNNNNNNNNNNNNNNNNNNNNNNNNNNNNNNNNNNNNNNNNNNNNNNNNNNNNNNNNNNNNNNNNNNNNNNNNNNNNNNNNNNNNNNNNNNNNNNNNNNNNNNNNNNNNNNNNNNNNNNNNNNNNNNNNNNNNNNNNNNNNNNNNNNNNNNNNNNNNNNNNNNNNNNAGGGGCGGGACGCGGCGGCGUCGAGGGGAGGCGGGGGGCCGGCCGGAUUUGGGGCGGGCGACGACCGGCGGCUUGGGAGGAGGAAGCGAGGGAGAAGCAAGGGAGGAAACUUCCCUCCCGCGCGACGGGGGAAGGGAGUGCGGGCUGGGGUCGAGCGCCCCCCUCCAACCCUCACUUCUACGGUUUGAAACUGGGUUUGAGGAUUGGAUCCUUAAUUUUUUUGAGGGUUUGAAGGUUUAGGGGUUCUAGUUUUUGUGUUUUUUUGUUGCAAUCCAUAAAAAAACGGUUUUUUUUGAGGGUUUGAGGGUUUAGGGGUAUAGUAAUGCUCUAAAACAAUUUGGUUCGGCCCUAACAAUUUCGGGGGUUUCUCUCGUCGCCAUCAGCGCCGCCGCCGCCGACCUACUCCUCGUCGCCGGCCGUCACGAUUCGCCUUGCCGCAGGCACGCCCGAUCCCCGAAUUUCUCGACAGGGACAACCGAAGUAUCCUCCCGUCCAUGGAAGCAGCAGCUCCGUCGGCCGCACUGAGGGUCUACGGGCCGAGCAACUUCAGGGACGACGAGCUCGUCUUCAACAGCGGGGAGAUAGUGAGGCUACAGUCGGAGCUUCUUGCCAAGAUCCAGAGCUGCUACGGGCGGGUGAGACAGAUCCCCGGGGUCUUCGACGCCGGCUUCUGCUUCGGCCUCCUGGACCCCGUCUCCAACAUCGUCGCCGGCGCCUCCAUCGCCCGCGCCGCCGUCGAUUCCAAGGAGGAGGAGCGUUCUCUCCCGGGGGCGCGGCUGGGCGAGCCAGAUCUGAUCGGGGACAUGAACCGCCGGUCGUUCCACGGCCUCGUCGCCUUCCUGACCGCCCUCUUCCCCCACCUCACCAACGCCAUGGCCAUCUGGUACCUCAACGAGGCCCGGCUGGAUCCCCUCGUCGCCGCCCACCUCGUCGUCAAUCGCCGCGGCAUGGAGCUGAGCUUCGGCUUCGCGUCCGACACCACCGCGGCCGCCGUCGAGACCGCCCUCAGAUGCGCCGCGGCCUCCGCCCAGCACCCCAAUCCCAGCCAGUUCGCGCUAGGGUGGAAGUUGCUUUCGCAUUCUGAUCUCAACAAUGUCGCCGCCGUGCUUCCAUCGUCGGCCAAUUCCGAUUACUCUGACGAGUCCUUUGCCACUGUCAUUGUCAUGGUAGAUGAUGUUCUGCUCAAGAAACAGCCUCAGCCCACCUAGAGUUUUCAGCCUGGAGAAAUCAUGGGAGCUCGCCUCUGCUCGCCUCCUCAACUUCAGUCCAGACCUGUCUCCCAUCGUCUUGGAGAAGAAGGUGUUUCUUGAGCGGGCAGCCGUCUGGCGUAUGCUUCUCACCACCAUCCAUGGAUACUAUCUUCAGGCACUGGCCAGGCUGCCCAAGGACAAGCUGCAGUCUCACUACCACCACAGCUUGCUUCAGGCCGGGCACUGCUACGGCCCGCUGGAUCCGGUCGGCAACAUCAUCCUCAACACCAUCUGGUAUAACCGAGCCUACCCUCCAACAAAAAAUGUCGCGAUAUCGGCGAUCAGCACCAGAGGCCUUCUGCAGAUUGCUGUCCGGUCCCUAUAUGGUCUUGUAUCCUUUCUGUGCACCCGGUGUGCCACGACACACCUCAGGCCUGACGAAGCAAUUCAACGACUGCAGGCUGUCGGUGCUGAUCUCCGAUUCGCUGAUCCCAACCUCCUCCUUGAUGAUGAUAAAAAUGAUGAUGAUAUGGUGGUAUCUGCCACUGUCGAACAAGCCUACACUGCUGCGGCAGCAGCAGCAAGACACCCUGAGCCUCAUCACCAGGUAGAGCUUCUCAGGCCGUCUAAUUCAGUGUUGCGGAUGGCCUCCGACCGUCUCAAAGGUGAUGCCAUGCUCUCCCAUGAGGAUGCUGAGCACCUCUCUGAAUCCUUGAUGCAUUCCUGCAUGUUAUUAUCAGAACACCAGCAGCAGCCAGAAACAGAGAUCAAGGUUCUAGACCGGUGGGCACACAUAAGGGUGCAACAUCGGAUUAACAAGUUCUGGGACCAGCAUGCUAGGCUCGUCAGCAUGGUGAAAUCUGCAAUGGACUCAUACAGCAAUGAGCUUGGGGUUGGCUUCCUUCUCUUUUAGUCUUUGCUCUCUGUAAAACAUUCCAUGUUUCCAGUUAACCUUUCUUUUGUCUUGCUGAUGAUUCAAGGUACCAAGUUACAAGCUUCAUGUUAUCUGCGGUGCCAAUGAGUAUGUUGAUGGUCCUGUGUGCACAAGGCCUGUCAAAGGCUACUACCGUUGCUCUCACAUCAACUUCCUUGCUGCCCAAUCUGCUGCUACACCUCCGACGCUUUUCUUUGCUGAAUGUGCCAAUGAUGGCACCGAAGUGCGCGUGUGCUGCCCUGUGCGUGUGCUGCCUCCCGGCACUGGUAUGCGGCUGUUUUGCCCUUGCUAUUAAUGUUUUCCAUCAAUCAGAUAUAUAAUUCCCUGUCUUGUAUCAAGCUGAUAAGUUAGGCAGGUACGUAAACUACGAGUAAUGAUUCAUUCUGCACCAGAGGCGGAAGAAUUGUCCUGACAGAUUACUGAACACAAUGGAUAAUUACUGAAGUAAGUAGGUAGAAGUUUUUAAAAAUCAAGAAAAUGCCAAAAGGCAAGAUGUCUAACCAAAAAUAGCACCAACUCUCUGUUUUCACAUGCCGGAGGCUCUGGAGGUUCAAAACAGAGCAAACCUAAUAAUGGAAUAGCAGACACUCAGUUCAGCUGUCAAGUUCAGUACUAGUAGAUAAUUAUAAAAGGUGAAAACCAAGCUUAAGCACCCGAGCUAUUGCCGUGGUCCUAUUUUUGACGGAAGAAAAUAAUCAUGUUCAUAUUCAUACUAGGUGAUCCCAUUGGGAUCUGUAAGACAAUGCCAACUGUAAAAUCUGAAGUAUCCUUUCUUUCUGAAGACGGAUUAUCACUACUGCACCCUAUGUGAACUUUAUUUCUAGAAGAUUCAAUUUCUUGAGGAAAGCCAUCGUCAAGCACUGUAUUAUGUACACACCAUAGGUAUUAUAAGUCGUCAUCUCUAUAAAAGUAUAAAGUACUGUUAUGAGUGACACCACAUGUUUUAGCUCAUCCUCUGUACAGCAUGAGGUUUCUGAUUCAGUCACCAAGCAGCAUAGGCUUCUUUACCACCUUCAGAAUACACCUUUAACAAAGUGUUCAAUGAACUCUGCAAGUGUAAGGAUAUUUCAGUCUUAUAGGACGACAAUAUUAGCAGCUCUAUCAUCAUCCAGUGAACGCUGCUACCCACUCCCCAACCAUCUACGCCGCUCACGGCUCACCCCUUGCUCCCCGAGCGCCAUGAAUUACGUACAAAGAUUUUCUGACACGAACAGUGUAGAAAGGCUUCCUGAUUUGCUCCCUUAUCGAUAACUAAUUACUGUGCAUGAAUGUAUAAGUAAAUUUCUGUUGACUCUACCAUCCAUCCAAUACUAACUAUAAAUAACAUGAUGUCUCUGUAUAUUUGCAUGGCAGAACAAGUCCGUUGCAUGUACUGUGAGUACCAUGGGAGUAGGAUUGUACACCCAACAAGGGACAGCUUCCGUGGGCGCGACAUCGAGUUUGAGAAGAUGCUGUGUGGAGAAGGAGUGUAUUCAAAGUCAUUCACCAACAAUGGGAUCAUCGCACACAGCGGCGAGGCAAGUCGCUGUGCAGGUGCUGUGGUUGACGACUGCAUCUACGACGUCUACCGACUUGACGAUACGCCUAUAAAGGCAGAGGACUUUGUACGCAUGUCAGAUGCUAAUGUGGUGUUUGACUGAUCGAAGAGCUCGUGCCAUUUGCCAAUACAAGCAGCAAAGCUGAUGUCUCUGUAUGUUUGCAUGGCAGAGCAAGUCCGUUGCUUGUACCGCAAGUACGACGGCAGCAGAAUUGUGCACCCAUCAGGGGAGAGUUUGCACGGGCGCAACAUCGAGUUCAAGAAGAUGCAACAAUAAGAUCAUCGCACACAGUCACGAGACAAGUGGCUGCGUGGGUACGUGGACGGCGACUGCAUCUAUGAUGUCUACCGCCUUGACGAUACACCUAUAAAGGCAGAGGACUUUGUGCGUAUGUCAGAUGCUAAUGUGCUGUUUGACUUUGAAGAGCUCGUGCCAUUUGCCAAUGCAAGCAGCAAAGCUGAGUUGCAUGCAUGAUGAUGCCAGCCUUUGUAUUUGCUAGCUAGCUAGAGAGACAGAGAAAUUUAACCACCACUUUAGUUAGUGCCAUUGCGAAAUGCUGCUUGCAGUUCAUCAAGGGAUGGAUGCCUUGUGUUGUUUUCGUAUCAGGGUUCCCAUUUCUUUGCUGAGAUAUUGGUCCAAGAAAGAUGCAUCGGUCUUUUGCUGUCAUGCAAACUUUAUGUUACUCACUGGCUAUAUACUGAUAUCAUUACUGUCAAAAAAAGGUCUUAUAUUAAGUUACCGAGGGAGUACAUGCUUUAUGUUCAUCUGCAGUACUAUACUAUGCAAUUUAAUUGGAGUGUCGGAUUCAUGGAGACGUUGCAAGUUCUUGUCAAGGUAAAGAAACGAAAAGCAGAGAAAGUUCAUGUCUCAAGUUUGGUAUCUAGCUGGUGCGCUCACUUAAGCUCUUGUGAGCCAUAAGACCUCUUACCACGGCAAGUCCCUGCGAAAUAAUUUUGGUAGAGAGAAAAAGUGGCGCGCAACUGUCUUUAGAGAAGAGAAGCACGAGUGGGCGACCCGAUCUUUACGGUGUAGGAUUGAUGAAUGAAGGGAUAAUUGUCGCUCCCUCUUCAUGGCGUAGGAUCGAUGAAUGGAGGGAUAACUAUCGCCCCCUCUUCACGACGUAGGAUCGAUGAACAGAGGGAUGACUAGUUGCAAGCUGCCAAAAAAAAAAGAGAUGGUGGCCCAACGAGGAGGAUGCCAACCAUAGCAUGCAAUCCGAGUUCAAGACGUGGAGCACGGGAUUGCUGCAAUCUUUGCAAGGGAAAUCACGAACACUAACCCACACAACCACCCUUAAGUUGUGGAGCACAAAUUAUGAGCAACUCCACAUGGGAUCACGAGAAUAAGGGUAGCAAUAAGUCUCCAAUCUCAUGAUGAGUCUUAUGUCUUUGUCUAUUAAUAGAAAUACCGAAAGUUCUCUACGAAUGGAUGCACUAAUGUAUUUAUAUUGGGGACACACCUCCAAUAUGUGUGAAAGCAAACUAACUUCGAGAACCAAAAUAGUGUGAAAACCGAACUAGCUUAGGUGUGAAACCAAACCAGCUUAGGGAAUUGAUGAGGUAACUUCUAAAAUUCUCUUGUAAGGUGUACUUAGCUUAUUUCAUCAUCAAAUAUUGUUUCGUUAGAGUCAGGACAUUAUUUUUUAGCAGCAAACUUGUCCCCCCCUAACUCCUAGCUAUGUUUAUUCAAAAUAAAACAUUGUUUCUUCAUGGGCUGAGAUGUUGUGGGCCCUCUUAGACAUUUCACGUGAUCAUGUAUUUGCUUCGUGUGACUUCUUGUGAUUCAUCUAUCGAUGAUUGGUGUAGUGUGAAUGGUUGUGAUAUCAUCCUCAUCAUCUGUCUCUUGAGAAGGAGUUGUCCUCAAUUCUAAAGGGCCAAAGUAUAAGAAAAGAUCAAAGACGUUGAAGGUUGGGCUAACACGAUAAUCUUCUAGAAGAUCAAUCUUGUAGGCAUUGUCAUUUAUCUUCUCAAGCACCUUGAAUAGGUCAUCACUAUGAGCGACAACUUGCACUUGCGUUGCUUAGAAAAACGGACCUUCAGUAGAUGUAUCCUUACCAAAUUUCAUUGCUCAACAACAUCCUCUUCCCUUUGCCUUCUCAUGAAGUUGCUUGACAAAAUCAACAUCCUUACUUGCAAAGUCGGUUCGUUCCAAAAACAGGAAAUGGAAAAAGAUCAACAAUAGGUUUUAACCCAUAAACAAGCUCAAAAGGGUAAAAAUUAGUGGUUGAAUUUACCGCCAUGUUAUAUGAUGGAAAUAUGCCCUAGAGGCAAUAAUAAAAUGGUUAUUAUUAUAUUUACUUAAUCAUGAUAAAUGUUUAUUAUUCAUGCUAGAAUUGUAUUGACCGGAAACUUAAAUACAUGUGUGGAUACAUAAACAAAUACCGUGUCCCUAGUGAGCCUCUACUAGACUAGCUCGUUGAUCAAAGAUGGUUAAGGUUUCCUAACCAUAGACAUGAGUUGUCCUUUGAUAACGGGAUCACAUCAUUAGGAGAAUGAUGUGAUGGACAAGACCCAAUCGUUAGCAUAGCAUAUGAUCGUUGAGUUUAUUGCUACUGCUUUCUUAAUGUCAAAUACAUGUUUCUUCGACCAUGAGAUCAUGCAACUCCCGGAUACCGGAGGAAUACCUUGUGUGCUAUCAAACGUCACAACGUAACUGGGUGAUCAUAAAGAUGCUCUACAGGUAUCUCUGAAGAUGUUUGUUGGGUUGGCAUGGAUCGAGACUGAGAUUUGUCACUCCGUGUGACGGAGAGGUAUCUCUGGGUCCUCUCGCUAAUACAUCAUCACAAGAAGCUUGCAAGCAAAGUGACCAAGGAGUUAGUUACAAGAUGAUGUAUUAUGGAAUGAGUAAAGAGACUUGCCGGUAACAAGAUUAAACUAGGUAUAGAGAUACCGACGAUCGAAUCUCGGGCAAGUAACAUACCGACAGACAAAGGGAAUUAUGUAUGUUGUCAUAAAGGUUCAACCGAUAAAAGUUCUUCGUGGAAUAUGUAGGAACUAAUAUGGGCAUCCAGGUCCCGCUAUUGGUUAUUGAUCAGAGAGGUGUCUCGGUCAUGAAUACAUAAUACCUGAACCCGCAGGGUCGCAAGCUUAACAUUCGUUGACGCUAGAGUAGUAUUGGGAUAUUUGAUGAGUGGUAACCAAAUGUUGUUCGGAGUCCCGAAUGAGAUCCCGGACGUCCCGAGGAGUCUAGGAGUGGUCGAGAGGUAAAGAUUUAUACAUGUGAAUUCAUAUUUUGGGUUCCAAAAAAGGUGCAAUUUUUUCGGUAUUGUACGGGAAAGCUUCCAGAAGGUUCCAGAGGAAUCUGGAGGGGUUCGGAAGUCCACAAGUGGGUCCACCACGACCCAAGGGAUAGCAUGGGCUGCGGGGAGGCAUCCUGGCCUUAUUGUGCUCGGCGCACCAAGUCCUCAAAAGCCCAUGUGGCAAGGGAAGGUAAAAAGGGAAGGAGUCCUAGUAGGAAUAGGAUUGGACUUGGAGUCCAAGUCCUCUCCCCCUUAGCUGCACCCUAGGGCUUGGAGGGGCUGUUUCCCACGCCCCUCCAUCUAUAUACGGAGGAGAGGGGGUGCCCCAAGUGAACACACCAAGCCCUUGGCGCCCUCUCUCUCACGUUACUCCGUAGUUCCACCGCCUCGUCCUGACGGUGAUUAGCGAAGCGCUGUCGGUGCUCCACCACCACCAUCACCACCACACCAUCGUGUUGGUUGUGAUCCCAUCUACUUCUCCUCUCCCGCUUGCUGAUCAAGAAGGAGGAUACAUCAUCAAGCCUCAUACGUCUCCAUCGUAUCUACUUUUCCAAACUCUUUUGCCCUUGUUUUGGACUCUAAUUUGCACGAUUUGAAUGGAACUAACCCAGAUUGACGCUAUUUUCAAGAGAAUUGCCAUGGUGUUAUUUUUGUGCAGAAAUAAAAGUUCUUGGAAUGACCUGAAAAUUCACGGAGAAUAUUUUUGGAAUCAAUAAAAAAUAUUGGCAAAAGAAUCAACCGAGGGGGACCCACCACCUGUCCACAAGGGUGGGGGCGUGCCCUACCCCCCUGGGCACGCCCCCUGGCUUGUGGGUCCCACAAAGCUCCACCGGACUCAACUCCAACUCCAUAUAUUCAUAUUCAGGGAGAAAAAAAAUGAUGGAGAAGGACUCAUCGUGUUUUAUGAUACGGAGCCGCCGACACCUCCUGUUUUUCCUCGGGAGGGCAGAUCUGGAGUCCGUUUUGGGCUCCGGAGAGGGGAAAUCGUCGCCAUUGUGAUCAUCAACCAUCCUCCAUCACGAAUUUCAAGAUUCUCACCACCGCGCAUGAGUAAUUCCAUCGUAGGCUUGCUGGACGGUGAUGGGUUGGAUGAGAUUUAUCAUGUAAUCGAGUUAGUUUUGUUAGGGUUUGAUCCCUAGUAUCCACUAUGUUCUGAGAUUGAUGUUGCUAUGACUUUGCUAUGCUUAAUGCUUGUCACUAGGGAUCAAGUGCCAUGAUUUCGGAUCUGAACCUAUUAUGUUUUCACGAAUAUAUUUGUGUUCUGCAUCCUAUCUUGCAAGUUAUAGUCACCUACUACGUGUUAUGAUCCGGCAACCCCGGAGUGACAAUAGUCGGGACACUUCCCAGUGAUGACCGUAGUUUGAGGAGUUCAUGUAUUCACUAAGUGCUAAUGCUUUGGUUCACGUUCUCUACUAAAAGGAUGCCUUAAUAUCCCUUAGUUUCCAAUAGGACCCCGCUGCCAUGGGAGGGUAGGACAAAAGAUGUCAUGCAAGUUCUUUUCCAUAAGCACGUAUGACUAUAUUCGGAAUACAUGCCUACAAUAUAUUGAUGAAUUGGAGCUAGUUCUGUGUCACCCUAGGUUAUAACUAUUGCAUGAUGACUGCCAUCCGACAUAAUUAUCCAUCAUUGAUCCAUUGCGUACGAGUUUGUUUCAUAUUGAUCUUUGCUAGUUACUUUCCCGUUGCUGAUGACCCACAAGUGUAUGGGGUCAAUUGUAGCCCUUUCGAUAAGUAAGAGUGUUGAAGCCAACGAGGAGCAGAAGGAAAUGACAAGUGGUUUUCAGCAAGGUAAUGUCUGCAAGUGCUAAAAUUAUAAGUAGCAGAGUAGUUUGGUAGCAAGAUAAUUUGUAACGAUCAAGUAACAAUAGUAGUAACAAAAGUACAGCAAGGUAGCGCAAUCCUUUUGAGGCAAAGGAUAUGCCAAAACAGUUUCUUACGAUAAGCAAAGUGUUCUUGAGGGUACACGGGAAUUCAUCUAGUCACUUUCAUCAUGUUGGCUUAAUUCGUGUUUGGUACUUUGAUAAUUUGAUAUGUGGGUGGACCGGUGCUUAGGUGCUACUACUUGAACAAACCUCCUACUUAUGAUUAACCCUCUCGCAAGCAUCCAACUACGAGAAAAGUAUUAAGAAUAAAUUCUAACCAUAGCAUUAAACUUUUGGAUCCAAUUGGUCCCUUACGGAAUAGCGCAUAAACUGGGGUUUAAGCUUCUGUCACUCUCGCAACCCACCAUCUAAUAACUACUCCACAAUGCAUUCCCUUAGGCCCAAAUAUGGUGAAGUGUCAUGUAGUCGACGUUCACAUGACACCACUAAGAGAAUGGCAACAUACAUACCAUCAAAAUAUCGAACACAUAUCAAGUUCACAUGAUUACUUGCAACAUGGUUUCUCCCGUGACCUCAAGAACGAAAGUAACUACUCAAAAAUGAUAAACAUGCUCAAGAAGAGGGGUAUUUAAUAGCAUAAUGGAUCUGAAAAUACAAUCUUCCACCAAAUAAACCAUAUAGUAAUCAACUACAAGAUGUAAUCAACACUACUAGUCACCCACAAUCACCAAUCUAUAGUUUUGAUACAAAGAUUGAACACAAGAGAUGAACUAGGGUUUGAGAGGAGUUGGUGUUGUGAAGAUGUUGAUGAAGAUAGCCCUCCCCAAGAUGGGAGAGUUGUUGGUGAUGAUGAUGACGAUGAUUUCCCCCUCCGAGAGGGAAGUUCCCCCGGUGGAAUCGCUCCACCGGAGGGCAAAAGUGCUCCUGCCCGAGUUCCGCCUUGAGGCAGCGGCGCUUCGUCCCGAAUGUCCUCCCCUUAUUUUUGUAGGUCAAAAUGACUUAUAUACCAGAAGAUGGGCACCAGAGGUGGGCCGAGGAGGGCAGCACCCACCAGGGCGCGCUUGGGCCUCCUAGCGCGCCCAAGUGGGUUGUGCCCACCUGGUGGCCCUCUUCUGGUACUUAUUUGCUCCAGUGUUCCUUAAAUAUUCCAUAAAAAAUCCUCAGGGAGUUUCAGCUCAUUUGGUGUUGUGCAGAAUAGGUAGCUUGACGUAGCUUUUUCAGGUCCAGAUUUCCAGCUGCCAAAAUUCUCCCCCUUGGUGCAUACCUUUCAUAUUAUGAGAGAAAAGGCAUUAUAAUUACUUCAAAAAGCAUUAUUAUACAAUAAAAAAACAUAAAUAGCAGUAGAAAAACAUGAUGCAAAAUGGAAGUACCAACUCCCCCAAGCUUAGACCUCGCUUGUCCUCAAGUGAAAACCGAAGUCGAAAAACAUGUCCACAUGCUUAGAGAGAGAGAUGUGUCGAUAAAACAAAAAUACGGACAUAGCAGCAUCAUGUGACUUAUUAUAACAACAACAAACCUUAAUAUAAAACUUUUAUCAUAGAACUUUUAUCAUAGACUUCUCAUGAACAAGUGACAAUUCAUCACAACAUCUAUUGUAUAAUUAAGACAAGAGACAUAUAAGCCACCACGUUCACCCACAUAUACUAAUAUAAUUUACACCGUUCGAUUAGAAUAAUAAUGGCUGAGAUUUAAAGUUUUUACGUAACAUGCUAACAUGUAUGUACCAAUAAUAUUGAACGCUUAUGUGUUGUCACGUGGAUGCAUAGAUGGCUAGCAUCAAUAGUUUGGGUCAGGUUCGAGAUUCAUGGAUUCACUGCUUGAUACAAUUCAUGGUACGAUAUAGAAAAACAAAGGAAAGAGUGAUCGAGAAGGAAAGGGAAACGUAAUCAAUGCAACCACACCAAUAUUCAAAAAAAAAAACAUCCAGAGAUACAAUUCGUGGCACGAGAAAAGCAAAGGGCGAUAAAAAAGGAAACAGAAACGUAAUCAAAGCCACCACCACGUCAACAGUCCAUCAAAAACACGUCUGUAACAUAUAGAUUUUUUUUAGACAGUAACUCACGGGAGAUGCCAAUUCAAUCGACAACAAAAAAAAAAACCUCACGGGAGAUAAUAUGCAUCUUAAUCUUUCUCUCACAUACGCCGGUCUCGCAUCACGAGCGGUAGCAGCCUCACUGUUUUCUCUCCCUAUAUCGAGAGCAUAAUCCUGUAGGUCGGAGGUGCCGACUACUGCAUGGUAGGACUAGGUCACGCCUCCAGUCAGGAUAGAUCUGCGCAAAAAAGGUCAUGGACUGAAAGAACUCAACGUGGACUUGAGAGGAUAAGACUACAUGGGCACAUGACAUCCAUGUCCCACAAGAUUCAAGAGUAUUGGCCGCCGUGGUCAACAGUCCAAAACCUGAUGCAGCUCACCAGCGUUUUUACUCUGAAGGAGAUCUGCAGGCUCCUGACAUUCCGAUGGUAUUAUUCCAAUUAGAUUCUCUUCUUUGAUUACCAAUGAUCAUAGCCUAUACAUCAGAUUUCAGGCAGGGUUCUAUCGAUGAUCAUAUCCUCCAUAUCAGAGUUGUGGCUGGGAUGCAGGGUUCUAUUGGCUGGAUUCGUAAUUACUUGCAUGCAUACCCUAUGCCUUAUUCUUUACCAAGGACAAGGAGGAUGAGAAUUUCUCCUGGAGCAUCUAUUCCUUGGCAUUGCCUUCAUAGGAAUCAGAGCAUGUAUGUAGCAAGGUAGAGUGAUCAACUGUCAAAGAUACUAAAUAUUUCCUUCAAAAAAGAAACUAUAGCAAGUGUUCUACACGAGCCACAAUUCCAUGACAUUGCCUUCAUAGAGUCAGCAUAUGUACCCUUAUUUGCACCUAUAAAUAUGUUGAUUAUUCAUCUUGGUUUAAUUGUUUUGUUAUGAGAACAUGAAAAACAAUUGAGGAUGAUUCUAAUUUGUAUGUACAUGUUGAUUUCAGAGGCUGUUCUCGACAGUAAAAUUGUUGUUCUACUACUGGAGUUAGUACCAAGUCUACAUCGGAACACUUGAAAGUUAACUAUUGGAGGUUAUAUUUCUUCUUCCCAGUUUUCUAUAGGUCCUUUAUAUAUGUAACCUUGAAUUUUCUGUAGUAUGCCAACACGUUCAGAGCAGUGUUCGAGCUAUCGACAAAAUAUAUUUGUUUAUUGGUAAGCUCAAGAGAAAGGCACGACAAACCAAGCCGCGAGGAGUUUUGUGGUUGUAGUAUCAGUCCAUAAUUAAAGGAGUUUCUGUUCCAUACACAUAUACAGGUUUUUGUAUUGUAAAGCUGUUACUGAGAUGGGAGAUUCAAGACGAUCUAUGGAAAACAAUAGGAAGUUUAAAUAAAGUGCAGCGUGCAAAUCACGAGACUAAAGAGCAGCCUAUUACUUUAGUGGAGAAACUUUGAUCUGAUCUUAAGUUGUUAUGUAUGCACUGUGACAAAUGAUAUUUCGAAAUUCUACUAUAUUGGACUAUAGACUACAGCCCAUUCGAACAAUUAUAUUUACAAAAAAUAUGUUGAUGCUUUAAUAUUGUCUGAUUAUAGUUUUGCCAUUUAAAAGUUUUUAAUAAAGUAUAGUGCUUCUAUAACUUCUGCAUAUUACCUAACCAUGUAGUCAUUUAAUUUACCCAUUAGUCCAUCCAUGCAUUAGCUAUAUUGGCGAUUAUUUUAAUUGCCUAGAAACAAUUGUUGCAAGAUUUUAGGGUAUCUAACACAUGUGUAAGAUCCAUCAACUUUUGCUGCUACUAAUUAUUUGGUUCUAAUAACCAUCUUUACUACUUUCAGUGAUAUAUCUACAUGGAAUUUGUGAUUUCCUUGAAGAGCAGACAACUACAGUAGAUGGCAAAAUGAUUCAUGCUGGAGGAAGCUUAUUAAUACAAAUACUAUUCAAUGCAGUGAUGCUUUUUUUGUCAGUUAGAGUUAAUAUUAAUUUCCUGUAUUCUUACCAUGAAACAUCCUAUUAGUUCCCAUUAUAAAUUGAAGUGCUAUUAAAAACAUCUUUACAUUCUGCAGAAAAUUUCAUAUGAAAAAGACUUUCUGUAUGUUAGAUAUGCUUGCCUGGAGGCUAUUUAUAUGGACUAAUUUUAUAUCUUUUUCCAUAAGGUAAUGGUUUGUUCAGCUAAAAAUUUGAUAGCAAGGUGCAUAUAUGGAAAGUGAUUAUUGUUUCAGGUUAUUGAGUGUGCCAUUCUUAAUAUAGCAAGGUGCAUAUAUUGAUAGCAAGAUGUUUCUAUAUAGUCCAAAUGAUUAGGAUGUUUCAUAAAUUUCUAUACAUAAUAAGAUUGUGAAGUGGAACCAGUACGUCAUGAUUCUUAUGUCAAUUUCAUAAACGGCCUUAAUAAGCCUUUUUUAUAUUUAUCUUAACAUCUUAUCAGAACCCUUAGCAGAAGAUAUGGGUACAUUUACUCCCUAUGUGAUUCCUUCAAAGUUGAAAAUCGUAACAUUUGUCAUGUUCUGCCCUGUGUUGCUUUUAAAAGAAAAUGCAAAUCUUACCUCUGUAGUAAAAGUAGUGAUCUUACCAACAUUUCGAAUCACUCGCUGGGACCUUUACCACUGUCUAUGUGCUUUGCUUUUCUAUAUGGCUUGGUGAACCAAGAAAAUGGUUGGAGGGAUGUACGGAUAAAAAAGUAUAAUCUAUGGAGAUAUUAGAAGUGGUUUCUAUAAGGUAAUCGUUUUUUCAGCAAGAAAUAGGUUAGCAAAGUGAAUAUAUGAACAAGGCAAAUCAUGGUUUUUUCACCCACAGCAGGUGAGCAAAUCAUUAUCUAUUAUUUAAUUAAAACAUAAAACAAACAAGCCGUCAUGUUCGUCCUUACCGAUUAUAAACAAGUAUAAAUAUUAUUGUGAACGAAGAGCUCAACAUGUCAUGUACUUAAAGAUAUAUAAUUGCGAUGUACCAAUUGAAGCAAAAGUAGUACAAUAAUCGAUGGGAUAGAAUAUUAAAAAUUCUAACUAGAGGCCAGCGGUGAAAGGACAACCAAAAUAAAUGAUAAAUCAAAACUUUUUUUUUGAGUAGAAAAGUGUAAGCAAUAUUGAAGUCGUUGAUACGAAGUUAUAUAAGUUUUAAAACAUAAGUAAUUACUUCAAACAUAAAUAAAUAGAAUCCAAGUCUAGCCACGCAAAUGCGCGGGUAACAUCGCUAGUUGAAGUAUAAAGCAUAAACUCUAUUGGAAACCAACAAACUAUGUUCUCAGUCAACUUUGCAACUACAAUUCAUCAUCUUUUCAGGAAGGGUCGUGUAUCAGAGCCUUUAGACAAGUCCACAUACUCAACCAUCGUUUAGUCUUCUAUGAUUGCUAACACUCACCGCGUAGACAUGAACAAAACAUUUCAACCGGACACAAAGAAAGUUAGGGGCUUAUAGCUUCGCCUCCCAACACACUCACCUCAAGGGUGAUGUCAACAAUAAUAACUUAUGCCACCCAUAUUCAACUGGACAUAUGUGCCUAGAUCUUUCCUCACCACAUGAUGCUUGCCAAAGGAUAAAAAUAAAAGGAAUAGAGAGAAAAACUUUGACUCUUGCAUAAAAGUAAACACAUGAAAGUAAAAGAUAGGCCCUUCGUAGAGGGAAGCAGAGGUUGCCAUGCACUUUUUGUUUGUAUGCUCAACCCCGUAGUGCAAGAGAACGUCACAUUAUAUUGCCCCUUGUGAUGGCAACCUUUAUUAUGCAGUCUGUCGCUUUUAUUCUUCACCAUCACAAGUUCAUACAACGCUCAAUUUCCCCUUACACUAAAUGAUCUCACAUUUUUAUAAGCAAUUUUUAUUGCCCUUUUUGCACCGAUGACAACUUACUUGAAGGAUCUUACUCAAUCCAUAGGUAGGCAUGGUGGACUCUCAAACAAUAUAGGGUUUAAGGGUUUUGGAUGCACAAGUAGUAUCUCUACUUAGUGCAGAAUUUUUGGCUAGCAAAGAUAGGGGCAAGCACCACAUGUUGAAGGAUUUAUGACAAUAUGACUUCUACGUGAAUAUGAACAAACAUAAAUCAUUAAGUUGUCUUCCUUGUCCAACGUCAACAAUUUUGGCGUAUAAUAUUUUGAUGGGUGCUCACAAUCACAAAAGAUUUCCAUGAUAAUAUAUUUAUAUGUGAAUCUUCUCUUCCCUUAUUAAUUCUUUCAUGUGUUGCAUCAUUGACCAAUGCUAUGUUUGUCAAUUUACAAUAAAAGUUUCUACUUAUACUUUUCCUUGUGUAAUGUCAUCACUUACCAUAAGAUUAGCAUAUGAUCUUUCUUUUUAUUUUCUUUCUUUUUAUUGCAGCUAGAAAGUAAAGAAGGCAAAACUCAAACUAAACUUUAUUAUAUCUCGCACACGAUUACUAGGAUUGAUCACCAGCAAACUCACAAAAAGCAAGGAUUGAACUAAACUUUUAUUCAUCUAAAAGCAAAAGAUAACUGUUGAUCGAACAAAGAAAAUUAAGGCAAAAGAUAGUGGAGAUUGAUACGAUACCGGGGCACCUCCCCCAAGCUUGGCGAAAGCCAAUGGGAGUUCCCAUACCCAAUACUUAGUUUUCUUUUGGUGGUGAUGAAGAAGACGGUGGUGAUGAACUAGACAAUUUCUUAUCCUCGGGUUUCUACGGAAGAGGCUCAUCAUCAUAGGAGGAGGAGUGAGUCUCCCGGAUCCUGCAACUAGCAGCCAAACUCAUAUCUUUAAACCUGGCCUCGUACUCAAAGACAUGGGUUUGAAGAUCGUGGAUCUGGCUAUGGAGGAAGUUGAUUUCGUUGAGGGAGAAGAUGAUGUCCUUUAUGGGCUUGCCAUCCACCUUAAGAUCACGGGUGUAGUCCACGAUCAUGAGGUGAUUGGCAUUGAGUCCACGCUCCACAAUCCCCUUGCACUUGAAGAUGUCCUGCUCCAUGGCUCCAAGCCUGGCCUCCAUGGAUCCAGCCCCCCUGGGUCCUUGCACAUCGCGGAUGUGCAGCACCCCAUCACGCAUCUGGAUAGCUUGAGGGUGGUGCAUCACCUCCCGCAGAUAUGGGUCGAUGACGUUGUCGAAGAACUUGUCCUUGGAGGAGCUUGAAGAGGCCAUGGUGGAUUGGAUCUGACAGAAAACAACAAGAAAAGAAAACAGGAGAUUUCUCCGCGAUAGGGAGGUUAACAGGUUCGGGAGGUAUAUAUAGAACUUUUAUCUUGGGGAACAAGCAGAACAAAAGAAAAAUGAAGAUUGUAAAGUACCCGAGGUGGGCACAACCCACCUGGGCGUGCCAGGCAAGCCUGGCGCUGAUAACCCACAAGUAUUAGGGGAUCACAACAGUUUUCGAGGGUAGAGUAUUCAACCCAAAUGUAUUGAUUCGACACAAGGGAGCCAAAGAAUAUUCUCAAGUACUAACAGCAGAGUUGUCAAUUCAACCACACUUGAAAGACUUAAUAUUUGCAGCAAAGAAUGUAGUAGCAAAGUAGUAUGGGAGUAAUGGUAACGGUGGCAAAAGUAACAGUAGCCGUUUUGUAGCAAUUGUAACAGUGGUAACGGAGAAGUAACUAAGCAAGGCUCAAUAUUUGAAAAGCUCGUAGGCAAUGGAUCAAUGAUGGAUAAUUAUGUCAGAUGCAAUUCAUCAUGCAACAGUUAUAACAUAGGGUGACACAGAACUAGCUCCAGUUCAUCAAUGUAAUGUAGGCAUGUAUUGCAAAUAUAGUCAUACGUGCUUAUGGAAAAGAACUUGCAUGGCAUCUUUUGUCCUACCCUCCAGUGGCAGCGGGGUCCUAUUGGAAACUAAGGGAUAUUAAGGCCUCCUUUUAAUAGAGUACCGGACCAAAGCAUUAGCACUUAGUGAAUACACGAACUCCUCAAACUACGGUCAUCACCGGGAAGUGUUCCGACUAUUGUCACUCCGAGGUUUGCCGGAUCAUAACACGUAGUAGGUGACUAUAACUUGCAAGAUAGGAUCAAGAACUGACAUAUAUUCAUGAAAAUAUAAUAGGUUCAGAUCUGAAAUCAUGGCACUCGGGGCCUAGUGACAAGCAUUAAGCAUGGAAAAGUCAUAGCAACAUCAAUCUUAGAACACAAUGGAUACUAGGGAUCAAACCCUAACAAAACUAACUCGAUUACAUGGUAAAUGUCAUCCAACCCAUCACCGUCCAGGAAGCCUACGAUGGGAUUACUCACGCAUGGCGGUGAGCAUCAUGAAAUUGGUGAUGAAGGAUGGUUGAUGAUGACGAUGGCGACGGAUUCCCCUCUCCGGAGCCCCGAACGGACUCUAGAUCAGCCCUCCAAGGAAGAAUAGGGCCUUGCGGUGGCUCCGUAUAGUAAAACGCGAUGAAUCCUUAUCUCUGAUUUUUUUCUCCCCGAACGUGAAUAUAUGGAGUUGGAGUUGAGGUCGGUGGAGGUCCAGGGGACCCACGAGGCAGGGGGCAUGCCCUGCACCCUCGUGGACAGGAUGUGGGCCCCCUUAAGUUGAUUCUUUUACCAAUAUUUUUAUUAAUUCCAAAAUGUGACUCCGUGGAGUUUCUGGUCAUUCCGAGAAGUUUUAUUUCUGCACAAAAAUAACACCAUGGCAAUUCUGCUGAAAACAACAUCAGUCCGGGUUAGUUCCAUUCAAAUCAUGCAAGUUUCUGUCCAAAACAAGGGCAAAAGUGUUUGGAAAAGUAGAUACAUUGGAGACGUAUCAACUCCCCCAAGCUUAAACCUUUGCUUGUCCUCAAGCAAUUCAGUUGACAAACUGAAAGUGAUAAAGAAAAACUUUUACAAACUCUGUUUGAUCUUGUUGUUGCAAAUAUGUAAUGCCAGCAUUCAAGUUUUUAGCAAAGAUUAUGAACUAACCACAUUCACAAUAACACUUAGGUCUCACAUUUACUCAUAUCAAUGGCAUAAUCAACUAGCGAGCAAUAAUAAUAAAUCUCGGAUGACAACACUUUCUCAAAACAAUCAUAAUAUGAUAUAACAAGAUGGUAUGUCGCUAGCCCUUUCUGAGACCGCAAAACAUAAAUGUAGAGCACCCCUAAAGAUCAAGCACUAACUAGACAUUGUAAUUCAUGGCAAAAGAGAUCCAAUCAUACUCAAUGUAAAUUAAUAGCAAUGCAUGCAAAUGACAGCGGUGCUCUCCAACUUGUGCUUUUAAUAAGAGGAUGAUGACUCAACAUAAAAGUAAAUAGAUAGGCCCUUCGCAGAGGGAAGAAGGGAUUUGCAGAGGUGCCAGAGCUUGAGUUUUGAAAUAGAGAUAAAUAAUAUUUUGAGCGGCAUACUUUCAUUGUCAACAUAACAACCAAGAGAUCUCGAUAUCUCCCAUGCUACAUACAUUAUAGGCGGUUCCCAAACAGAAUGGUAAAGUUUAUACUCCCCACCACCAACUAGCAAUAUUCCAUGGCUGACCCGAGACAACAGGUACCGUCCAACUAACAACAAUCCUGGGGGAGUUAUGUUUGCAGUUAUUUUGAUUUGAUUUGAGCAUGGGACUGGGCAUCCCAGUUACCGGCCAUUUUCUCGUGAAUGAUGAGUGGAGUCCACUCAUCGUGAGAAUAACCCACCUAGCGUGGAAGAUAUAGACAACCCUAGUUGAUACAUGAGCUAUUCGAGCAUACAAAACAGAAUUUCAUUUGAAGGUUUGGAGUUUGGCACAUGCAAAUUUACUUGGAAUGGUAGGUAAAUACCGCAAAUAGGAAGGUAUGGCGGACUUGUAUGGAAUAACUUUGGAGUUUAUGGAAGUGGAUGCACAAGCAGUAUUCCCGCUUAGUACAAGUUAAGGCUAGAAAGAGACUGGGAAGUGACAAACUAGAGAGCGACAACAAUCAUGAACAUGCAUUAAGAUUAACCAACAAUGAGUGCAAGCAUGAGUAGGAUAUAAAUCACCAUGAACAUAAAUAUCGUGGAGGCUAUGUUAAUUUUAUUUCAACUACAUGUGUGAACAUGUGCCAAGUCAAGCUACUCGAAUCAUUCAAACGAGGAUACCACCUUAUCAUACCACAUCACAACCAUUUUAAUAGCCUGUUGGCACGCAAGGUAAACCAUCAUAAACUCCUAGCUAAUUAAGCAUGGCAUGAGCAACUAUAAUCUCUAAUUGUCAUUGCAAACAUGUUUCAUUCAUAAUAGGCUGAAUCAGGAACGAUGAACUAAUCAUAUUUACAGAAACAAGAUAGGUCGAGUUCAUACCAGCUUCUCUCAUCUCAGUCAUUCCAUUAUAUAUCGUCAUUAUUGCCUUUCACUUGCACGACCGAACGGUGUGAAUAAUAAUAAUAGUGCACGUGCAUUGGACUAGGCUGGAAUCUGCAAGCAUUUAAUACAAAGUAGAAGACAAGGUAAUAUGGGCUCUUUGUUAGAUCAACAAUAAUGCAUAUGAGAGCCACUCAACAUUUUCAUCGUGGUCUUCUCCUCUCGACCCCCAAAGGAAAGAAAAGAAAUUCAAAGAAGAAUAAAACUAUUUACACGGGAAAGGUCCCAACAAGCAAAAGAAGAACUAGAAAUCUUUUUGGGUUUUCUUUUAAUAUUACUACUACAAGCGUGGAAAGUAAACUAGCUAAAAGCUACAACUAUUUUUUUGUUUUUCUCAAGGUUUUUCAAACACACAAGAAGAAAGCAAGAAAAGAAAAUAAACUAGCAUGGAUAAUACAAUGAAAAAGUAUGAGCACCGACAACUAGAAUGAGUGUGUGAACAUGAAUGUAAUGUCGGUGAGAAAUACAUACUCCCCCAAGCUUAGGCUUUUGGCCUAAGUUGGUUUAUGCCCAUGGAUCGAAGCGACCCUCUCUGGUGUACUGAGGAGGGUCCUCGGGGUGCCACUGGUUAGCGAGCUCCUCUAGAUCCCACUGAUAAACAGACUCUCGAUAUGGGUCAAGUGGUGGCUUAGGCUCAGGCUCUGGGACUUGUGUCAGCUCCUAGUAUGCAUAAAUGUCCUCGGACAGGAUGAGGUAUGUGCCUGAAAGUAUGUUAAACAAAGAGGGUGCAAGCAAGAUAAUAGUCUCAUAGUUUUAGGAAAUAUCAAGUUAUACUUAAGUAUCUUCUUCUUAUUUUUAACAAUAAAGUCAUGUGCUACCAUACUAUUAUAGUCUAGCAAAAUAGUGGGCAACAACUUUUCCUCUUUCUCAUGAUGCCUAAUAGGUAUCUCAAAGUGUUUAGCAAGGCGUGAAGCAAAGAUACCUCCAAAGAUGGGGCCUUUUGUACGGUUCAGAUUUAACCGUUUAGCAACAAUGGCGCCUAAACUGAAAGUUGUAUCACGAAACAAAGCAUGGCACAAAAUAGCAAGGUCUGGAGCACUAAGGUUCCCACUAUUCCCGCGACAAAUUAAGCAUCUACUAGCAAAUAUUGCAAAGUAACGUAGAACACGAAAAUGUAUACUAGUAGUCCUUGCAUCUGAAACUUUUCUCGUUUCCCCUAUAGCAAUUUUAUCAAUAAAUCCAUCCAAUCACUAGGAUGUGGUUCCUCGAUGCUGCUUGCAAAGGGCAACUUGCAAACUACGCAAAAAUCAUACAGUGACAUCUCCUUAAACUCAUCCUAUAAAUAAAAUUCCACUGAAGGUGGUGAUUUUCUAGCAUGGAAAUAAAAGUUUUGCACAAAAAUAUUAGUGAGUAGGAGAUACUAUUCACACUGGUCGUGGAGGAAGUUGGCGAGGCCUGCAUUCUCAGCCAGAUAAUAAAAGUCGUCAUGAAUUCCCGCGGCUCUCAAGAAUGUAUCAUAAGGCCAUUCGCACGCCCGAACCUCCGCAGUGCAAGGAAGAUUGUAUUUGGGCUUUUUAUUCUCUUCAUUCUGCUUAUCCUUCGAGCUUCGGCUCGAGGAGCCCCUCAAAAAUCACUUCACCAUUUUCUUUCUCUGAAAUUUUUAGUGACUCAAAUCAAAAGUUAACCUAACUCAAUAAGAUUGAUAGCAACUACUCCAAUAAGUGCCUAGAGGCUAUAUCAUGCAUUAAAACUACUUUGGACCAUAUAAAUUUGACAUGCAAGCUCAAGAACAGGGUCACCUUAGUAGUAAAAAUUUGCAAUAAAUAAAGAACUAGAACAAAAACUAAUUGGACCAUUGGAGGAGUCACAUACCGAAGAACAAUCCCCCAAAGCAGUUUUGUGAAUGGAGCUUUGAGCAAGGAGAUAAAAAAUGGCAGCAAAACGAGCUAUAACACGGGUUUGAGCUACGAGAUGAUUUUUGCUAGAGGAAGACGAAGUGUGUGGGUGCUGGAAUAAGUGGAGGGAGGCCAUGUGGGGCCCACGAGGCAGGGGCACACCCCAGGGGGGUGGCCGCGCCCUGCACCCUUGUUGCCAAAUGGUGGGUCCCCCUGGUGUGUUCUAAGUGCUAGAAAUUCAUAAAUAUUCUACAAAAAAUCAUACUCCAUUUUCAGGUCAUUUGGAGAACUUUUAUUUUCAGGGUAUUUUUUUAUUGCAUGGAUAAUUCAAAAAACAGACAAAAAAAACUAUUUUUGAUUUAUUUAUUCCAAAUAUCAGAAAGUAAAAGGAGGGUACAAAAGGUUGUGCUUUCUAACUUCAUCCAUCUCAUGCUCAUCAAAAGGAAUCCACUAACAAGGUUGAUCAAGUCUUGUUAACAAACUUCUUCCGAGUAACAUGAAACCGGAGAAUUUUCGAAUAACACUAGGUUACCUCAACGGGGAUAUGCAUGUCCCCAACAAUGAAUAUCAUAUAUUUUUUUGACAGUAGGAAGAGGGAAUUCAAAACCUCCAAUAGUAAUCGUUGAAAAUUUUCCAAUAGAAUUGAUACUAUGAACUUGAGGUUGUUUCUUUGGAAAGUGUACCGUAUGCUCAUUACCAUUAACAUGAAAAGUGACAUUGCCUUUGUUGCAACCAAUAACAGCCCCUGCAGUAUUCAAAAAGGGUCUACCAAGGAUGAUCGACAUACUAUCGUCCCCGGGAAUAUCAAAAAUAACAAAGUCCGUUAAAAUAGUAAUGUUUGCAACCACAACAGGCGCAUCCUCACAAAUACCGACUGGUAUAGCGGUUGAUUUAUCGGCCAUUUGCAAAGAGAUUUCAAUAGGUGUCAACUUAUUCAAAUCAAGUCUACGAUACAAAGAGAGAGGCAUAACACUAACACCGGCUCCAAGAUCACAUAAAGCAGUUUUUAACAUAGUUUCUUUUAAUGGAGCAUGGUAUAGUUGGUACUCCUGGAUCUCCUAGUUUCUUUGGUAUUCCACCCUUAAAAGUGUAAUUGGCAAGCAUGGUGGAAAUUUCAGCUUCCAGUAUCUUUCUUUUAUUUGUAACAAUAUCUUUCAUAUACUUAGCAUAAGGAUUCAUUUUAAGCAUAUAGUUCAAAUGCAUACGCAAAAAGAUAGGUUUAAUCAUUUCAGCAAAGCGCUCAAAAUCCUCAUCAUCCUUUUUCUUGGAUGGCUUAGGAGGAAAAGGCAUGGGUUUCUGAACCCAUGGUUCUCUUUCUUUAACGUGCUUCCUAGCAACGAAGUCUCUCUUAUCAUAACAUUGAUUCUUUGAUUGUGGGUUAUCAAGAUCAACAGCAAGUCCAAUCUCUACAUCAUUGUUAUUACUAGGUUGAGCAUCAAUAUGAACAUCAUCAUUAACAUUAUCACUAGGUUCAUGUUCAUUACCAGAUUGUGUUUCAGCAUCAUAAAUAGGAAUAUCAUUGGGAUUCUCAGGUGUGUCUAUAACAGGUUCACUAGAAGCAUGCAAAGUCCUAUCAUUUUCCUUUUUCUUUUUCUUAGAAGGACUAGGUGCAUUAAUAUUAGUUCUUUGAGAAUCUUUCUCAACUAUCUUAGGGUGGCCCUUAGGAUACAAAGGUUCCUAGGUCAUUCUACCACCUCUAGUCAUGACUCUAACAUCAUUAUCAUUAUUUUUUAUUAUUUAAUUCAUUGAGCAAAUCAUCUUGUGCCUUCAGCACUUGUUCUACUUGAGUGGUAACCAUGGAUGCAUGUUUACUAAUAAGCUUAAGGUCACCUUUAACUCUAGACAUAUAAUCACUCAAGUGUUCAACCAUAUAAGAAUUACGUUUCAAUUGUCUACCAACAUAAGCAUUGAAGUUUUCUUGUUUAACAAUAGAAUUAUCAAACUCAUCCAAGCAUUGACUAGCAAACUUAGUAGAUGGGAUUUCACACUUAUCAAAUCUAUAGAGAGAAUUUACCUUUACUACCUGUGUCGGGUUAUCAAGACCAUGUAUUUCUUCAAUAGGUGGUAAAUUCUUAACAUCUUCAGCUUUAAUGCCUUUUUCUUUCAUAGAUUUCUUCGCCUCUUGCAUAUCUUCGGGACUGAGAAAUAGAAUACCCAUUUUCUUUGGAGUUGUUUUAGGAGUUGGUUCAGGAAGUGUCCAAUCAUUAUCAUUACUCAAUAUAUUAUUCAAUAGCAAUUCAGCUUGCUCAACAGUUCUUUCCCUGAAAAUACAACCAUCACAACUAUCCAGGUGGUCUCUGGAAGCAUCAGUUAGUCCAUUAUAAAAGAUAUCAAGUAUUUCAUUUUUCUUGAGAGGAUGAUCAGGAAAAGCAUUAAGUAAUCGGAGAAGCCUCCCCCAAGCUUGUGGGAGACUCUCUUCUUCAAUUUGCACAAAAUUAAAUAUUUCCCUUAAGGCAGCUUGUUUCUUAUGAGCGGGGAAAUAUUUUACAGAGAAGUAAUAAAUCAUAUCUUCGGGACUACACACACAACCAGGAGCAAGAUAAUUAAACCAUAUCUUAGCAUCACCCUUUAAUGAGAAAGGAAACAAUUUAAGAAUAUAAUAGUAGCGAAUUUUUUCGUCAUAAGUAAAUAGGGCGGCCAUAUCAUUCAAUUUAGUAAGAUGUGCCACAACAGUUUCAGAUUCAUAGCCAUAAAAAUGAUCAUAUUCAACCAAAGUAAUUAACUCGGGAUCAACAGAGAAAUCAUAAUCCUUAUCAGUAACACUGGUAGGUGAAGUAGCAAAAGCAGGGUCAUAUUUCAUUCUAGCAUUCAAAGACUUUUCUUUCAGCUUAGCUAACAGUUUCUUAAGAUCAUAUCUAUCAUUGCAAGCAAAAAGGUCUCUAGCAGCUUCUUCAUCCAUAACAUAACCCUCACGCACAACAUGCAAUUCAUAUCUAGGGGGAGAAUCUUAAUAAUCACUUUCAUCAAUAUCAUCAGUUUCAAUAAUUUAAUUCUCUCUAACCCUAGCAAGUUGUUCAUCAAGAAAUUCACCUAAUGGCAUAGUAUUAUCAAGAAGAGAAGUAGUUUCAUCAUAAGCAUCAUGCAUAGUAGAAGUGGCAUCACCAAUAACAUGCGGCAUAUCAGAAUCAAUAGCAGGUGCAGGUCUAGGUGUCGCAAAUUUACUCAUAACAGAAAGUGAAUCAAAUGCAGAGCUAGAUGGCAGUUCCUUAUCUCCCCUCGUAGUUGAGGGAAAAAUCUUGGUUCUUUCAUCUUUCAAGUUCCUCAUAGUGAUCAAUAGAUAUAAAUCCCAAGUGACUCAAAGAUAGAGCUAUGCUCCCCGGCAACGGCGCCUGAAAAAGGUCUUGAUAACCCACAAGUAUAGGGGAUCGCAACAGUUUUCGAGGGUAGAGUAUUCAACCCAAAUUUAUUGAUUCGACACAAGGGUAGCCAAAGAAUACUCUCAAGUAUUAGCAGCUGAGUUGUCAAUUCAACCACACCUGAAAGACUUAAUAUCUGCAACAAAGUAUUUAGUAGCAAAGUAGUAUGGAAGUAACGGUAACGGUGGCAAAACUAACAUUAGAAGUUUUGUAGCAAUCAUAACAGUGGCAACAGAGAAGUAACUAAGCAAGGCUCAAUAUGUGAAAAGCUCGUAGGCAAUGGAUCAAUGAUGGAUAAUCACCGGGAAUAGAUAUAGCAUAAGGUGACACAGAACUAGCUCAAGUUCAUCAAUGCAAUGUAGGCAUGUAUUCUGAAUAUAGUCAUACAUGCUUAUGGAAAAGAACCUGCAUGGCAUCUUUUGUCCUACCCUCCCGUGGGAGCGGGGUCCUAUUGGAAACUAAGGGAUAUUAAGGCCUCCUUUUAAUAGAGUACCAGACCAAAGCAUUAGCAGUUAGUGAAUACACGAACUCCUCAAACUACGGUCAUCACCGGGAAGUGUCCCGACUAUUGUCACUCCAGGGUUUGCCGGAUCAUAACACGUAGUAGGUGACUAUGACUUGCAAGAUAGGAUCAAGAACUCACAUAUAUUCAUGAAAACAUAAUAGGUUCAUACCUAAAAUCAUGGCACUCGCGCCCUAGUGACAAGCAUUAAGCAUGGCAAAGUCAUAGCAACAUCAAUCUUAGAACAUAAUGGAUACUAGGGAUCAAACCCUAACAAAACUAACUCGAUUACAUGGUAAAUCUCAUCCAACCCAUCACCGUCCAGCAAGCCUACGAUGGGAUUACUUACGCAUGGCGGUGAGCAUUAUGAAAUUGGUGAUGGAGGAUGGUUGAUGAUGAUGAUGGCGAUGGAUUCCCCUCUCUGAAGCCCCGAACGGACUCCAGAUCAGCCCUCCCGAGGAAGAAUAGGGAUUGGCGGCGGCUCCAUAUCGUAAAACGCGAUGAAUCUUUCUCUCUAAUUUUUUUCUCCCCGAACAUGAAUAUAUGGAGUUAGAGUUGAGGUCAGUGGAGGUCCAGGGGACCCACGAGGCAGGGGGCGCACCCCAGGGGGGUGGGCGCGCCCUGCACCCUCGUGGACAGGGUGUGGCCCCCCAUACGUUGAUUCUUUCGCCAAUAUUUUUUAUUAAUUCCAAAACGUGACUCUGUGGAGUUUCAGGUCAUUUCGAGAACUUUUAUUUCUGCACAAAAAUAAUACCAUGGCAAUUCUGCUGAAAACAACAUCAAUCCGGGUUAGUUCCAUUCAAAUCAUGCAAGUUAGAGUCCAAAACAAGGGAAAAAGUGUUUGGACUGUAAUUUGCAUCAUCAAGCCUCAUACGUCUCCAUCAUAUCUAGUUUUCCAAACUCUUUUCCCCUUGUUUUGGACUCUAAUUUGCAUGAUUUGAACGGAACUAACCUGGACUGACGCUGUUUUAAGGAGAAUCGCGAUGGUGUUAUUUUUGUGCAGAAAUAAAAGUUCUCAGAACGACCUAAAACUUCAUGGAGAAUAUUUUUUGGAUUUAACAAAAAAUAUUGGCGAAAGAAUCAACCGAGGGGGACCCACCACCUGUUCACAACGGUGGGGGGGGGGCGCCCAACCUCCCCUGGGCACGCCUCCUGGCUUGUGGGUCCCACGAAGCUCCACCGGCCUCAACUCCAACUCCAUAUAUUCAUAUUUGGGGGAAAAUGAGGGAGAAGGGUUCAUUGCGUUUUACGAUACGAAGCUACCCACACCUCUUGUUUUUCCUCGGGAGGGUAGAUCCGGAGUCCGUUUUUUGCUCCGGAGAGGGGCAAUUGUCGCCAUCGUCAUCAUCAACCAUCCUCCAUCACCAAUUUCAUGAUUCUCACCACCAUGCAUGAGUAAUUCCAUCAAAGGCUUGCUGGACAGAGAUAGUUUGGUAGAGAUUUAACAUGUAAUUGAGUUAGUUUUGUUAGGGUUUGACCCCAAGUAUCCACUAUGUUCUGAGAUUGAUGUUGCUAUGACUUUCCUAUGCUUAAUGCUUGUCACUAGGGCCCAAGUGCCAUGAUUUCAGAUCUGAACCUAUUAUGUUUUCAUGAAUAUAUUUGUGUUCUUCAUCCUAUCUUGCAAGUUAUAGUCACCUACUAUGUGUUAUGAUCCGGCAACCCGGGAGUGACAAUAGUCGGGACACUUCCCAGUGAUGACCGUAGUUUGAGGAGUUCAUGUAUUCACUAAGUGCUAAUGCUUUGGUACGGUUCUCUAUUAAAAUGAGGCCUUUAUAUCCCUUAGUUUCCAAUAGGACCCCGCUGCCAUGGGAGGGUAGGACAAAAGAUGUGAUGAAAGUUCUUUUCCAUAAGCUCGUAUGACUAUAUUCGAAAUACAUGCCUACAGUAUAUUGAUGAAUUGGAGCUAGUUCUGUGUCACCCUAGGUUAUAACUGUUGCAUGAUGAAUGCCAUCCGACAUAAUUAUCCAUCAUUGAUCCAUUGCCUACGAGUUCGUUUCAUAUUGAUCUUUGCUACGUUACUUUUCCGUUGCUGAUGACCCACAAGUGUAUGGGGUCAAUUGUAGCCCUUUUCGAUAAGUAAGAGUGUUGAACCCAACGAGGAGCAGAAGGAAAUGACAAGUGGUUUCAGCAAGGUAAUGUCUGCAAGUGCUAAAAUUGUAAGUAGCGGAGUAGUUUGAUAGCAAGAUAAUUUGUAACGAGCAAGUAACAAUAGUAGUAACAAAAGUACAACAAGGUAGCCCAAUCCUUUUGAGGCAAAGGACAUGCCAAAAUGGUUUCUUAUGAUAAGCAAAGUGUUCUUGAGGGUACACGGGAAUUCAUCUAGUCCCUUUCAUCAUGUUGGCUUAAUUCGUGUUCGGUACUUUGAUAAUUUGAUAUGUGGGUGGACCGAUGCUUAGGGGCUGUUCUUACUUGUACAAACCCCCUACUUAUGAUUAACCCUCUCGCAAGCAUCCGCAACUACGAGAAAAGUAUUAAGAAUAAAUUCUAACCAUAGCAUUAAUCUUUUGGAUCCAACCGGUCCCUUACGGAAUAGCGCAUAAACUGGGGUUUAAGCUUUUGUCACUCUCGUAACCCACCAUCUAAUAACUACUCCGCAAUGCAUUCCCUUAGGCCCAAAUAUGGUGAAGGGUCAUGUAGUCGACGUUCACAUGACACCACUAAGAGAAUGGCAACAUCUACAUACCAUCAAAAUAUUGAACACAUACCAAGUUCAAAUGAUUACUUGGAACAUGAUUUCUCCUGUGACCUCAAGAAUGAAAGUAACUACUCACAAAUGAUAAACAUGCUCCAGAUCAGAGGGGUAUUGAAUAGCAUAAUGGAUCUGAACAUAUAAUCUUCCAUUAAAUAAACCAUAUAGUAAUCAACUACAAGAUGUAAUCAACACUACUAGUCACCCACAAGCACCAAUCUAUAGUUUUGAUACAAAGAUUGAACACAAGAGAUGAACUAGGGUUUGAGAGGAGUUGGUGCUGUGAAGAUGUUGAUGAAGAUAGCCCUCCCCAAGAUGGGAGAGUUGUUGGUGAUGAUGAUGAUGAUGAUUUCCCCCUCCGGGAGGGAAGUUCCCUUGGCGGAAUUGCUCCGCCGGAGGGCAAAAGUGCUCCUUCCCGAGUUCCGCCUCGAGGCGGCGGUGCUUCGUCCCGAAUGUCCUCCCCUUAUUUUUUCUAGGUCAAAAUGACUUAUAUACAAGAAGAUGGGCACCGGAGGUGGGCCGAGGAGGGCAGCACCCACCAGGGCGCGCCUGGGCGUCCUAGCGCGCCCAGGUGGGUUGUGCCCACCUGGUGGCCCUCCUCUGGUACUUAUUUGCUCCAAUGUUCCUUAAAUAUUCCAUAAAAAAUCCUCAGGGAGUUUCAGCUCAUUUGGUGUUGUGAAGAAUAGGUAGCUUGAUGUAGCUUUUUCAGGUCCAGAUUUCCAGCUGCCAGAAUUCUCCCCCUUGGUGCAUACCUUUCAUAUUAUGAGAGAAAAGGCAUUAGAAUUACUCCAAAAAGCAUUAUUAUACAAUAAAAAAACAUAAAUAACAGUAGGAAAACAUGAUGCAAAUUGGACGUAUCAACUCCCCCAAGCUUAGACCUCGCUUGUCCUCAAGCGAAAACCAAAAUCGAAAAACAUGUCCACAUGCUUAGAGAGAGAGGUGUCGAUAAAACAAAAAUACGGACAUAGCAGCAUCAUGUGACUUAUUAUAAUAGCAAAAAACUUUAAUUUAAAACUUUUAUCAUAGACUUCUCAUGAACAAGUGACAAUUCAUCACAACAUUGAAGUAUAAAGCAUAAAAUCUAUUGGAAACCAACAAACUAUGUUCUCAGUCAACUUUGCAACUACAAUUCAUCAUCUUUUCAGGAAGGGUCACGUAUCGGAGCCUUUAGGCAAGUCCACAUACUCAACCAUCAUUUAGUCUUCUAUGAUAGCUAACACUCACCGCGUACACAUGAACAAAACAUUUCAACCGGACACAAAGAAAGUUAGGGGCUUAUAGUUUUGCCUCCCAACACACUCACCUCAAGGGUGAUGUCAACAAUAGUAACUUAUGCCACCCAUAUUCAACUGGACAUAUGUGCCUAGAUCUUUCCUCACCACAUGAUGCUUGCCAAAGGAGAAAAAUAAAAGGAAUAGAGAGAAAAACUUUGACUCUUGCAUAAAAGUAAACACAUGAAAAGUAAAAGAUAGGCCCUUCGUAGAGGGAAGGAGAGGUUGCCAUGCACUUUCUGUUUGUAUGCUCAACCCCGUAGUGCAAGAGAACGUCACAUUAUAUUGCCCCUUGUGAUGGCAACCUUUAUUAUGCAGUCUGUCGCUUUUAUUCUUCACCAUCACAAGUUCUUACAACGCUCAAUUUCCCCUUACACUAAAUGAUCUCACAUUUUUAUAAGCAAUUUUUAUUGCCCUUUUUGCACCGAUGACAACUUACUUGAAGGAUCUUACUAAAUCCAUAGGUAGGUAUGGUGGACUCUCAAACAAUAUAGGGUUUAAGGGUUUUGGAUGCACAAGUAGUAUCUCUACUUAGUGCGGAAUUUUUGGCUAGCAAAGAUAGGGGCAAGCACCACAUGUUGAAGGAUCUAUGACAAUAUGACUUCUACGUGAAUAUGAACAAACAUAAAUCAUUAAGUUGUCUUCCUUGUCCAACGUCAACAAUUUUGGCAUAUAAUAUUUUGAUGGGUGCUCACAAUCACAAAAGAUUUCCAUGAUAAUAUAUUUAUAUGUGAAUCUUCUCUUCCCUUAUUAAUUCUUUCAAGUGUUGCAUCAUUGACCAAUGCUAUGUUUGUCAAUUUACAAUAAAAUUUUCUACUUAUACUUUUCCUUGUGUAAUGUCAUCACUUACCAUAAGAUUAGCAUAUGAUCUUUCUUUUUAUUUUCUUUCUUUUUAUUGCAGCAAGAAAGUAAAGAAGGCAAAACUCAAACUAAACUUUCUUAUAUCUCGCACACGAUUACAAGGAUUGAUCACUAAGACAAGUCACAAAAAGCAAGGAUUGAACUAAACUUUUAUUCAUCUAAAAGCAAAAGAUAACUGUUGACCGAACAAAGAAAAUUAAGGCAAAAGAUAGUGGAGAUUGAUACAAUACCGGGGCACCUCCCCCAAGCUUGGCGAAAGACAAGGGGAGUGCCCAUACCCAAUACUUAGUUUUCUUUUGGUGGUGAUGAAGAAGACGAUGGUGAUGAAGUAGACGGUUUCUUGUCCUCGGGUUUGCACGGAAGAGGUUCACCAUCAUAGGAGGAGGAGUGAGUCUCCCGGAUCCUGCCACUACCAGCCAAGCUCACACCUUUAAACCUGUCCUCAUACUCAAAGACAUGGCUUUGAAGAUCCUGGGUCUCGCUAUGGAGGAAGUUGAUUUGCUCGUUGAGGGAGAAUAUGAUGUCCUUUAUGGGCUUGCCAUCCACCUCAAGAUCACGGGAGUAGUCCGCGGUUAUGAGGUGAUUGGCAUUGAGUCCAUGCUCCACCAUCCCCUUGCACUUAAAGAUGUCCUGCUCCAUGGCUCCAAGCCUAGCCUCCAUGGAUCCAGUACCCCUGGGUACUUGCACAUCGCGGAUGUGCAGCACCCCAUCAUGCAUCUGGAUAUAUUAAGGGCGCUGCAUCACCUCCCGUAGAUAUGGGUUGAUGACGUUUUCAAAGAACUUGUCCUUGGAGCAGCUUGAAGAGGCCAUGGUGGAUUGGAUCUGACAGAAAACAGCGAGAAAAGAAAGCAGGAGAUUUCUCCGCGAUACGGACGUUAACAGGUUCUGGAGGUAUAUAUAGAUUUUUUUAUCUUGGAGAACAAGCAGAACGGAAGAAAAACGGAGAUGGAAAGUACCCGAGGUGGGCACAAACACCUGGGCGCGCCAGGCCAACCUGGUGCAGAUAUCCCACAAAUAUAGGGGAUCGCAAAAGUUUUCGAGGGUAUAGUAUUCAACCCAAAUUUAUUGAUUCGACACAAGGGGAGCCAAAGAAUAUUCUCAAGUAUUAGCAGCUGAGUUGUCAAUUCAACAACACCUGAAAGACUUAAUAUCUGCAACAAAGUAUUUAGUAGAAAAGUAGUAUGGAAGUAACAGUAACGGUGGCAAAAGUAACAAUAACGGUGGCAAAAGUAACAGUAGCAGUUUUGUAGCAAUCGUAACAGUGGCAACGGAGAAUUAACUAAGCAAGGCUCAAUAUGUGAAAAGCUCGUAGGCAAUGGAUCAAUGGUGGAUAAUUAUGUCGGAUGCAAUUCAGCAUGCAAUAGUUAUAACAUAGGGUGACACAUAACUAGCUCCAGUUCAUCAAUGUAAUGUAGCCAUGUAUUCCGAAUAUACUCAUACGUGCUUAUGGAAAAGAACUUGCAUGCCAUCUUUUGUCAUACCCUCCCAUUGCAGCGGGGUCCUAUUGGAAACUAAGGGAUAUUAAGGCCUCCUUUUAAUAGAGUACCAAACCAAAGCAUUAGCACUUAGUGAAUAUACGAACUCCUCAAACUACGGUCAUCACUGGGAAGUGUCUCAACUAUUGUCACUCCGGGGUUUGCCGAAUCAUAGCACAUAGUAGGUGACUAUAACUUGCAAGAUAGGAUCAAGAACUCACAUAUAUUCAUGAAAACAUAAUAGGUUCAGAUCUGAAAUCAUGGCACUCGGGCCCUAGUGACAAGCAUUAAGCAUGGCAAAGUCAUAGCAACAUCAAUCUUAGAACAUAAUGGGUACUAGGGAUCAAACCCUAACAAAACUAACUCGAUUACAUGGUAAAUCUCAUCCAACCCAUCACCGUCCAGCAAGUGAAAGAUCGUGGAUGUCGCCUAGAGGGGGGGGGGUGAAUAGGCGCUUCAAAAUAAUUACUGUUAAGGCUUAAACAAAUGCGGAAUAAACCUAGCGGUUAAUUUGUCAAGCACAAAAUCUAAAACAACUAGGCUCACCUAUGUGCACCAACAACUUAUGCUAAGCAAGAUAAGCAACUAUAUGAUAGCAAGAUAUAUGACAAAGAACAAUAUGGAUAUCACAAAGUAAAGUGCAUAAGUAAAGGGGCUCGGUUAAGAGAUAACCAAGGCACGCGGAGACGGCGAUGUAUCCCAAAGUUCACACCCUUGCGGAUGCUAAUCUCCGUUUGGAGCGGUGUGGAGGCACAAUGCUCCCCAAGAAGCCACUAGGGCCACCAUAAUCUCCUCACGGCCUCGCACAAUGCAAGAUGCCGUGAAUCCACUAAGGGACCCUUGAGGGCGGUCACCGAACCCGUACAAAUGGCAACCCUUGGGGGCGGUCACCGAACCCGUACACUUUGGCAACCCUUGGGGGCGGUCACCGGUACCCGUCAAAUUGCUCGGGGCAAUCUCCACAACCUAAUUGGAGACCCCGACGCUUUCCCGGAGCUUUACACAACAAUGAUUGAGCUCCGAACACCACCAACCGUCUAGGGCACCCAAGCACCCAAGAGGAACAUGCUCAAGGGCACCAAGCACCCAAGAGUAAUAAGCUUCUCAACUUGUAACUUCCACGUAUCACGUGGAGAACUCAAACCGAUGCACCAAAUGCAAUGGCAACGGCACACGGAGUGCCCAAGUCCUUCUCUCUCAAAUCCCACCGAAGCAACUAAUGCUAGGGAGGAAAAUGAGAGGAAGAACAAGAAGAACACGAAGAACUCCAAGAUCUAGAUCCAAGGGGUUCCCCUCACUUAGAGGAGAAAGUGAUUGGUGGAAAUGUGGAUCUAGAUCUCCUCUCUCUUUUCCCUCAAAAACUAGCAAGAAUCCAUGGAGGGAUUGAGAGUUAGCAAGCUCGGAGAAGGUCAACAAUGGGGGAAGAACACGAGCUUAAAGGAUAAGUUUCAAUGGGGAAGAAGACCCCCUUUUAUAGGAGGGGGAAAAUCCAACCGUUAUGUGCUCAGCCCGCACACGAGCGGUACUACCGCUCCACGAGCGGUACUACCGCUCGGGCGGAAGAAGCAGGGAAACGGAGCAACAAAACAAGAACCUUGGGGCGGUAGUACCGUAUAUAAGCAGUACUACCUCUCACCCCAGCGGUACUACCGCUCACGAGCAGUACUACCGCUCCUACUGCCGCUACUACUGCCGCUGAACCCGACACGAGAAAACCACGUAUCGAGUCGAGGCGGUACCAGCGCGGAACCGGAGCCGUACUACCGCUUAUGGCCAUGGGCGGUACUACUGCUGUGGGACAGCGGUACUACCGCUUGUGGCGAUAAGAGGUAUGCCGCUCCGGCCCAGCGGUACUACCCCUGGCGCCAUCCUAAUGCCACUACCGCGAAAACAAAGAAUACUCCAAAGAAAACCAGAACUGCCAUAACUUCUGCAAAUGAGCUCAGAAUUGAGCAAACUCAAGCUCGUUUGAAACAAGACAACGAGUAGCAUCAAAACAGCGACACCUCCAACAGAGGCAGGGGAGGUAUGCUUAGCAAACAAAAGAGUGACACCUCCAACAGCAAAUGAGCUCCGAAUUGAGCAAAACUCAAGCUCAUUUGGUUAUAGUAAGAAGAGGCAGGGGAGGUAUGCUUAGCAAACAAAGGAGUGACACCUCCAACAGAGAAGAACCGGCAUACCCUCCAACAUCGAAAACAUCAUAGAAGAUGCAUGUGAACUCUGUUUUCGAUGAACUCGAGCUUGUCAUAAAAAUGACCAAAAGCUCCAAAUCUCACAAGGAGAAGAACCAAACAAGAACCAAAAGGAUGAUGCAAGGAUGCAAUGGUUUGAGCUCUCUACGAACGAUACGAUCAAGCAACUCAUUGAGAUACCCCCUUGAUAGUACGGCAAACGAUCCUAUAACCCGGUCUCCCACAACUACCAUGAGAUUGGUAAAAUAGAAAACCUAUCAAGGGCAAACCUUUGCCUUGCACAUGGUCCACUUGAGCUAGAUGAUGACGAUCUUGACUCCCUCAAGUUGGACCACCUUUCUUGAUUGUGUUGGCUCGAUGAAGACUAGUUGAUUGCUCCCCCAUACUCCACUGUGGGUGAGCCUCUCUUCCGCACAUCUUCACAAGUCCAUUGUCACCACAAUGGACGGCAAGCUUCAAGCAUUUGAUCUCUUCGUGAUGCUUCACUUGAACUUGGACACCACAACCUAACCCCACAAAUAACUCUCACGAAGGUCAUGGGUUAGUACACAAAGCAUAAUUGACAGUGCUUACCAUACCAUGGGAUCGUUUGAUCCCUCUCGGUACAUAUUCUACGCUUUGUGUGUUGAUCAACUUGAUUCACUCUUUGACUUAGUCUUGAUCAACCUUGAAUCUUUCCAACUCUCUUCAUUUGGAUGAUGUCUUGAAGGUAAAAAUGAAUGAUCACACAAUCUUCUUCUUCAAGACAUGCUUGUAAUAAGCUCAACACUGACAUGACCAAUCUUUGGAUAAUUCCUUAAUAGCACCUUGGUCAACUCAUAAACUCCUUGAAACUAACACAUGGACUUCAAGAAAAAACUAUGGAUAGAUCCUUCAAAUAUAACUCAAGACAACCAUUAGUCCAUAGAGAUUGUCAUCAAUUACCAAAACCAAACAUGGGGGCACCGCAUGUUCUUUCAGCAAGCCUACGAUGGGAUUACUCACGCACGAUGAUGAGCAUCAUGAAAUUGGUGAUGGAGGAUGGUUGAUGAUGGCGACGGAUUCCCCUCUCUGGAGCCCCAAACAGACUCUAGAUCAGCCGCCCCGAGGAAGAAUAGGGCUUGGUGGCGGCUCCGUAUCGUAAAACAUGAUGAGUCCUUCUCUCUGAUUUUUUCUCUCCCAACGUGAAUAUAUGGAGUUGGAGUUGAGGUCGGUGGAGGUCCAGGGGACCCACAAGGCAGGGGGGCUCGCCCUGCACCCUCGUGGACAGGGUGUGGGCCCCCUUAUGUUGAUUCUUUCACCAAUAUUUUUAUUAAUUCCAAAAUGUGACUGAAUGGAGUUUCAGGUCAUUCCGAGAACUUUUAUUUCUGCACAAAAAUAACACCAUGGCAAUUCUGCUGAAAACAGCGUCAGUCGGGGUUAGUUCCAUUCAAAUCAUGCAAGUUAGAGUCCAAAACAAGGGCGAAAGUGUUUGGAACAGUAGAUAUGUUGGAGACGUAUCAGGCGCGCCCUGGUGUAUCGUGCCCACCAGGGUCACUUUUGUUGAAGACUCUCAUUUUCCUAAUUGUGUAAAUAUUCCAAAACUGUCAAAAAAAAUAUUUUUGCGGAUUUUUUGGAGUCCGUUUACUUACCGUAUCACGUACCUCCUUAUUUUCAUGAUUCUGGAGUGUUCCGGAAGGACUCUUUUAUGUGUUCUUCCGGUGUUAAAGUUUGGAUAACAUUGCUUUCAACAUUAAUGGGCGUACCUGAGAUAUAGUGUUUUAUUCGUUGCCCAUUGGCAACCCUCGGGUUAGUCCCUUUAGAAUUAUUUAUUUUGAUAGCUCCGCAUAGAUAGACCUCCUCGAUGACAUAGGGUCCUUCCCAUUUGGAGAGGAGUUUUCCUGCAAACAAUCUAAAAUGAGAGUUGUACAAAAGAACAUAUUCACCUACUUUGAACUCACGCUUUUGGAUUAUUUUGUGAUGCCAUCUUUUAACUUUUUCUUUGAAUAACUUAGCAUUUUCAUAAGCCUGGGUUCUCCAUUCAUCUAAUGAGCUAAUAUUAAAUAACCUCCUUCCCCAACAAGUUUAAAAUCAUAACUGAGUUCUUUUAUUGCCCAAAAUGCUUUGUGUUCUAACUCAAGAGGUAAAUGACAAGACUUUCCAUAAACCUCUUUAUAUGGAGACAUACCCAUACGAUUUUUGUAAGCUGUUCUAUAAGCCCAAAGUGCAUCAUCUAAUUUCUUAGACGAAUUCUUCCAGGACCUAUUAAUAGUCUUUUGUAGGAUUAGUUUUAUUUCUCUAUUGCUAAGUUCAACUUGACCACUAGACUGAGGAUGAUAAGGUGACACAAUUAUAUGAUUAACAUCAUACUUAGCAAGCAUCUUACGGAAACAACCAUGAAUAAAGUUUUAACCACCAUCAAUCAUUAAAUAUCUAGGGGCUCCAAACCUUGGAAAAUUUUCCUUAAGCAUUUUAAUAGAGGUGUUGUGAUCAGCACUACUGGUUGGAAUAGAUUCUACCCAUUUAGUAACAUAAUCAACAUCAACCAAAAUAUGUGUAUACCCAUUAGAGGAAGGAAAAGGUCCCAUAAAUUCAAAUCCCCAAAUAUCAAAUUGUUCAACAGCAAGUGAAUAAUUCACAGGCAUUUCUUGACGGUUACCAAUAUUACCUAUUCUUUGGCAUUCAUCACAUGAUGAGACAAACUUACGGGCAUCUUUGAAGAGAGUACGCCAAUAAAAACUAGAUUGCAAUACCUUAUUGUAAGUGCAUCUAGUGCCCCUUAGUGAUUUUGGUGUAUUGAAGACUUAUAGGUUAAGAGACUGAUGCGUUUGUGAGUGUACACAGGUCUAUAAGUCUAUGAGGAGUUUGAUAUUUAUAGAGAAAGUCGACCCCUAAAAAUGAAGUUUUUCAACUGAAGACUUUGGAUAUCUAAAGACUUUUUGAAGACUUUGAAAGUGAAGAAAUUGGUGUGACCUUGAAGACUUGGUAAUCAUUCGAGGAACAUGAACCGUGAAGACUCUGUAUUUCAUAGUUCCAUUUUCUCUUUCUUGAGUCAUAGGAAACACCGUACUGUUAAAGGGGGUCAAGGAAAUACUAAGGAAAAAUUUCCAUGUGAUGCUCAACUCAAAAUCCUACACCUACCAAUCCCUUCGAGUGAAGCCAUUGGAAUUCUCACACAGUUCAGUCAUAUUCUUCAGUGACAGAGAUGAAGUUCUUCUGGUCUCUGAGGAAUUUGUUAUGACUGAGGAGUUCGGAAUUUGCCAGUGCGGAUUGCCUACAUAGUGAGGAACAUGAUAGCCCUGAGGAAUUUGAGAGUCAAAUAUUCCGACUGUUGCUGUGAUAUGCGCCAGCUGUCCAAAAAUAUCUACCCACCUAACGGUCAUAUCAGACAAGGGCAUUUAUGUCUUAUCAUGUCGAGCUGCUCCCUAGGCUAUAAAUAGCCCCCCCCUACAACCACUAGUUGGUUGGCUGCUCCGAGAAACUGACACUUGUCAUUUGAGAGCAUCCCAUCCUUCGAGGACUUUGAGUGAAAAUCAUCAAGUGAGGAAAACCCAAACCCAAACCUACAAAACCCCAAAGUGAUUGAGCAUCAUUGAAGAGAUUGAUCAUGCCUGGAUCCGACGCUUGUUUCCUUUGAAGACCGUGCUUCUUCCAGACGGUUAGGCGUCAAGGUCUAGAGCAUCCAAGAGGAAUUUUGGAUCGCCGAGUGACCGAGUUUGUGAAGGUCUGGAAGUCACCCGAAGACUUACCACGAGUGUUUGGGCGAGGUCUGUGUGAAUUUAGCUCAAGGAGAAUACGGUGAGGACUGUGUGUCCGGGACUGGGUGUCCUCAAGUUUAAAUACUCUGCCGCUCCAACCAGAUGUACAACUGAGACAGCAGUUGGAACUGGUCUAUGAAAUCAUUGUCUUCACCGAGCUUACUGGUUCUAUUUCCUCAACUCAAUCAUUUCCUCAUUUCUAUUGCUGUGUGCUUGUUCAUAUCUGUUUGAAGACUUUGACUGAAGACUUUCUCAAUUUCCCGAGUUUAAUUUCUUCAGUCUGUCCGUCUUCAUCUUGUGUUAUCCUGUGCUUACGCUUUCUGUACUAUGUGAUUGUCUUCAUUUCAUCAUAAUGACUAUGCGUGUGUUCUGCUAUGUUUACUUUUGAGUACUUAUUCCGCUGCAAGUAGUUCUUCAUUUAGGAAUUUCAUCACCUGCAAAUUCCUCAGUGAAGAAUUCAUAAAAAUCGUCUAUUCACCCCCCUCUAGUCGAUAUAACGCACUUUCAAUUGGUAUCAGAGCUAUGUACUCCCUUGUUCUUUGUGAUUUUGGUUUAACCUUCUGGAGUUUUAGUUAUGUCGAUCGCAUGUAUGAUUAAGGUCUCUAUUGGGUGUCCUACCUUCGAUGGAACGGACUACCCCCACUGGAGGAAUAAGAUGCGAAUGCAUCUUGAGGCAAUUGAUAACGAUCUCUGGUACAUUGUGGAAAAUGGUGUUCCCUCAGUCACACCUUCCCUGAAUGCUAGUGAUGUGGAGAGAUUCAAGCAACUCGAUUCUCAAGCGAAGAAUAUCAUAUGUGGCCAUCUGAGCAAAGGACAAUAUGGAAGAGUGAGUGCUUUGGAAACUGCUCAGCUUAUCUGGGAUAGGCUCUCCAAAGUAAAUGAAGGAGUCUCAACUCAACAUGACUCUCGUGUUGACGUUCUUCGCAAUCUCUUCAACCGCUUCAAAAUACUUGACCAUGAAAAUGUUCAGCAAACCUUCGAUCGCCUCACUGAUAUCUCAAAUGAGCUUCAAGCACUUGGCACCACUGACAUCACCGACCAUGAGGUGGUGAAGAAAUUGCUGAGAUCACUCGAUUCCUCAUUUGACACUCUGGCACUGAUGAUUCAAGAGCGUGCUGAUUACAAGUCACUUGAUCCCGCUGAUAUCCUCGAGAGGAUAAACACUCAUGAGUUUCAGCUUUCUGAGAAGAGAGAUCUCUAUGGUUUGAGCUAUGGCAAACCACAUGCUCUGAAGGCCAAGGCUGUCUCUGAGUCUGAAGAAGGGGACUCUACUAGCAGCCUUGGUGAUCCUGAAGAACUAGGACUGUUCGUGAAGAAAUUUCAGAAGUUCUCAAGACGUGGUCGCUUCGAAAAAUCCUCAAGGAGCAAUGAUUCCUCAUCAAGUGACUACAAGAAGAGGCUAUGCCACAAAUGCAAGAAACCUGGUCACUACAUUUAAGAUUGUCCUCAGUGGGACAAGGAAUUAAAGAAGAAGAAGUACAAGGAUGAUAGUUCUGAUGAUGCCAAGAAGAAGAAGAAAUCUUCGAAGUCUUCAUCAUCAAAAUCCUCAAAAUCUUCAUCUCACAAGAAGAGCAGCUCCAAGAAAGCUCGGGCAUUCAUUGGCAAGGAAAUGGACUCUGAGGCUGAAUCUAAGGAUCAUGAGGAAGAGGAGGCAUCUGAGGAGUCCGAGUCUGGUGUGUCAAGCCUAGCUCUUGCUACCGCAUUCGUCAGCAAGUCUAUCUUCAACUCUGAAGAAAAUGGCAACACCAACAAUGCUGAUGAAGGCAAUGAUGACUACGCUCCCACCUAUUGCUUCAUGGCAAAGGGUGCCAAGGUAACUAAAUACCCCUCCUCUGAAUCUAGUGAGGAUGAAUCUGAUGAAAACCUCAAGCCCAGCUACUCUAAACUUGCUAAGAUUGCUGUGAAACAACAAAAGGCUAUUGAAAAGCUUCAAAACAUGCUAGACAAAAGUGAUGAUAUGUUGGGUGAAGAAAUGGAUCGCACUAAAGACUUAACUGAAAAUCUUCAGAGACUUCAGUCUAAGUUUGACAACCUUCAAAGUCAUCAUAACACUCUCUUAUAUGAUCACGAGAAGCUUUCUUAUGAAUUUCUUCAAAGAAAGCAAGAUCUUGAGAAGCUAAGAGUGAGUUAUGAAGAUCUUCAGAAGGAGCGCGAUUCAUUGCUUGCUCAACAAAUCAGUGCUACUCAGGAAGAAUUUGUUCCUCCAUGUCUGAAAUGCAUUGAACGUGAAUCUACUAAUUCAUCACCUGAAUGUUCAAAUGCUUCAAAUAUUACAAAUUCUUCACCAGUCUCUGAUAUCACUAAUUCCUCUUCUGAGGACAUUGCUAGUACCACUGAUGAUGCAGGGCUGAAGGAAUUGUACACGACAUGCAUGUACAAAAGCCUCAAAGGGCAUCAGAUUAUGUGUGAUGUGCUUAAAAAGCAGAUCCUCAACAGGAACCCUAGGAAAGAGGGUAUUGCCUUUGAGAGGAAACUCAAUGCUGAUGGAACAUAUUGGAAGCCUGAGCAGUACCCCAAAACCUCAUGGGUUGCUGCAAAGGGACCUCUAGUUGAUCCAUCCAAUUUAUCUGGCUUUACAUGUGAAUCUCCUCAUUCUUCUGAUGAGUCAUUUGACUCCAACUAUAAACUGUUCAAAAAUCAGAAUGGUGAAGUAUUUGCUAGAUAUGUUGGCACUAACUGCAGGAACAGUUCCCCUAUGAAGAAAAUCUGGGUUCCCAAAAGCUGUCUUGAAAGUCUUCAAGUGAAUGUCCUCAUGACACCACCUGUGAAGAAUAGGAACCCCAGACCAAAUUCUUCAUAUGAACCUAAUUCUUCAUAUGGAUCCAAUUCCUCAAUAGGAUCAAAAUCCUCACAUGAUCAUCAUCGUGCUAACCCCUCUGUUUCGCAGGGUAGAACUAUGAAUAUGAGUAUUAUUCUUCAAAUCAUUAUGUUCAUAAGUCCUCAAAGAAUUUCUCUGCUUAUUCAUAUGCUUACCCUAACCCCUCUUAUGUGAAACAAAGCGGGCUGGCUUCUAUGCCACCUUUCUCAUAUGGUGCUCGCAGAGUGAUGAAUUCUUUGCCACCCCUUCAGAUGUGGGUGGUAAAGAAAAAGAACUAAUCUCUUAUGCAGGGUUAGGUCUCCAGACGUGCGCAAAACGUCUGAAGAAUUUGCUGGAGACCUGAAUGUGCCUGAAAGGAUGCAGGCUAAUCAUGAAGAAAUGAAUUUUCAUUUCUCACGUCCUCAUACUAAUUUAUCUGUGCUAUUGCUCGAUGAAAUUGAUCUGAUGAUAUUGAUGUCAUAUUCUUCACUAAUGAAGUAUAUAAGUUCGUAAGUUGCACUAAUUCAUCUGCAGGAUGAUCAACCCAAAGCCAAUGAGUGGGUCCUCGAUAGUGGAUGUAUGAAUCACAUGACUGGUGACAAGAAUCUACUGAUGGAUGCUCCCUUAUCACCGUCACAUCUGAAGCAUAUCAUCUUCGCUGACAAAGGCAAAAGUCAGGUAUUGGGUCUAGGUAAGGUUGCGAUCUCAAAGGAUCGACACAUGGACAAAGUCAUGCUUGUCGAGUCCUUAGGAUACAACCUCAUGUCUGUCUCAAUGCUUUGUGAUCUCGAUAUGGUUGUUGUCUUUGGAAAAUAUUGUUGUGUUGUGAUCAUGGAAGCUGACCAUUCCAAAGUCUUCGAAGGCUUUAGGAGAGGAGAUUUGUAUAUCGUUGAUUUCUCUACAGGACCACAUCCAGCCAUAUGCUUACUUGCAAAAGCUUCAGAAGGCUGGCUAUGGCAUCGACGACUUGGUCAUGCUGUAUAUCGUUGAUUUCUCUAUAGGACCACAUCCAGCCGUAUGCUUACUUGCAAAAGCUUCAGAAGGCUGGCUAUGGCAUCGAUGACUUGGUCAUGCUGGCAUGAGGAAUCUACACACGCUUGUGAAGAAGAAGCAUGUCAUUGGCAUUGAGAAUGUCAAAUUCCUCAAGGAUCACUUAUGCGAAGCCUAUGAAGCUGGAAAGAUGACAAAGGCCAAGCAUCCAGCAAAUACUAUCAUGACCACCACUCGACCAUUUGAAUUGCUUCACAUGGAUCUCUCUGGUCCUAAUCAUUAUUCUGCAAUUCUAAAUGAUGCAACUCAAUAUGGCUUUGUUAUUGUUGAUGAUUUUUCUCGUUACACAUGGGUGCACAUUGUCACUUACAAACAUGAAGUGCAGGAAGUCUUCAAACAAUUUUCCUCGAGGGCUUCAACCAACUUUGGUGUGAAGAUCAAGCACAUCAGAACUGACAAUGGGACCGAGUUGAAGAAUUCUGGUCUUGAUGGCUAUCUUGAUGAACUUGGUAUUACUCAUGAGUUAUCUGCUCCUUAUACUCCUCAGCAGAAUGGUGUCGUGGAGCGCAAGAACAUAACCCUUGCUGAAAUGGCUCGCACUAUGCUUGAUGAAUACAAAACACCUCGUCAUUUCUGGAUUGAUGCAAUCGAUACUGCAUGCCACAUCAUCAACAGGGUAUAUCUUCACAAAUUCUUCAAGGAAACUGCUUAUGAACUCCUCACUGACAAAAAGCCCAAUGUGAGUUAUUUCAAAGUCUUCGAUGCUAAAUGUUGGAUUAGAGAUCCUCAUCACACUUCCAAAUUCUCACCGAAAGCACAUGAAGGUUUUAUGCUUGGUUAUGGAAAGGACUCUCACGCCUACAGAGUCUUCAACAACGUUCUUCACAAAGUUGUUGAAACUGUAGAUGUGCAGUUUGAUGAAACUAAUGGCUCGCAAAGAGAGCACCUACCUUCUGUGAUAGAUGAACCAGCACCUGAGGAUUCUAUCAAGUUCAAGGCUACUGAGGAUGUCAUUCCUACCGAAGAAUCUGCUGAAGACUUUAUCCCAGAUCAUGAUGAACGCCGGGCUGACGCACCUGAAGAAAAUGGUGCUGAAGAAAAUGCUCCUGAAGGGAAGGCGGAUCAAAUUCCUCAAAGACAACCCGCUCAUCCUCGCAUUGCAAACGAAGUGAAAAUCGAGAAGAUCAUUGAUGACAUUGAAGCACCAGGUCCUCUCACUCUCUCAAAAUCUUCACAUUUAUCUAACUUUUGUGGGUGCUUUGCUUUUGUCUCUAUCAUAGAGCCCACUAAGGUAGAUGAAGCAUUUUUGGAGCCUGAGUUGAUUCAAGCUAUGCAAGAAGAAUUACAUCAGUUCGAGCUCAACAACGUCUGGGAACUGGUCAAUCGUCCAGAUCCUCGCAAGCACAACAUCAUUGGCACAAAAUGGAUCUACCACAACAAGCAAGAUGAAAAUGUCCUUGUGGUGAGGAAUAAGGCACGGCUUGUAGCUCAAGGCUACACACAGGUUGAAGGAACUGAUUUCGAUGAAACUUUUGCACCUGUUGCUAGACUUGAGGCUAUUCGCUUAUUACUUGCUUACGCUAACCAUCAUAAUAUCACAUUAUAUCAAAUGGAUGUGAAAAGUGCAUUCCUCAAUGGUAAGCUUGAGGAAGAAGUAUAUGUUUCUCAACUACCAGGUUUUGAAGAUCCAAAGCAUCCUGACAAAGUCUUCAGACUCAACAAGGCCCUGUAUGGCCUCAAGCAAGCCCCUCGGGCGUGGUAUGAUACUUUGAAGGAAUUCCUCAUGAAAAAAGGCUUCAAACCUGGUUCACUCGACCCAACUCUUUUCAGUAAAUCUUAUGAUGAUGAAUUGUUUGUGUGCCAAAUAUAUGUUGAUGAUAUUAUCUUUGGUUGUACUGACCAACAUUAUAGUGAUGAAUUUGCCUAUAUAAUGAGUGAAGAAUAUCAAAUGUCUAUGAUGGGAGAAUUGAAAUUCUUUUUAGGUCUUCAAAUUUGUCAACAGCGCAACGGCAUAUUCAUAUCUCAGGAGAAAUACCUCAAAGAUGUAUUGAGGAAAUUCAGCAUGCAAGACUGCAAAGGGGUCAAAAUUCCAAUGCCCACAAGUUGCCAACUGUGCACUGAUGAACAUGGUAUAGACUUCGAUCAAAAGGUAUAUCGCUCCAUGAUUGGCUCUUUAUUGUACCUAUGUGCAUCUAGGCCAGAUAUUAUACUUAGUGUUUGCAUGUGUGCCCGAUCUCAAGCUACCCCGAAGGAAUCACGCCAUAAGGCUGUGAAGCAUAAUCUUCGAUAUCUAGCUCACACACCAACACUUGGAUUAUGGUAUCCCAAGGGCUCGGCUUUUGAUCUCGUUGGAUAUUCAGACUCUGACUAUGCUGGUGACCGUGUGGACCGCAAGUCAACGUUAGGCACAUGUCAUUUCCUUGGACGAUCUUUGGUCUGUUGGUCCUUGAAGAAACAGAACUGCGUAUCACUAUCUACAGCUGAGGCUGAGUACAUUGCUGCUGGUUCUUGCCGUGCUCAACUGCUAUGGAUGAAGCAAACUCUCAAGGACUACGGUGUCAACAUGAAGAAUGUGCCUCUCUACUGCGACAAUGAGAGCGCUAUCAAGAUUGCUCACAACCCAGUUCAGCACUCGAAGACAAAGCACAUUCAGAUUCGUCAUCAUUUUCUUCACGAUCAUGUGUUGAAGGGCGACAUCUCCAUUGAGCAUGUACGGACUGAAGAACAGCUAGCCGAUAUCUUCACAAAGCCCUUGGAUGAGAAGAGAUUUAGCAAGUUGCGGUGUGAGCUAAAUAUCCUAGAAUCUUCGAAUGUUCUCUGAAAUGGACACUCAUCCUAACACUUAUGCUGACUUGAUGACUUGGAUGCGCAACACACAAAGUAACAUUUUUCUUCAAUCAAUGAAGACUAACCCUCUAAGUGUGAAGAAAUUAAUGAAGAAAUUGACUCUCAGAGCCCUAUGACAAUUGUACGCGGUGUCUGAAGUCAGCUUUCUUAUACGGUGGGUUAAGCCACCACCAAAAGUUGAAAAUCUUCAAUUUGAGUUUUUCCUCAAAUUUUUGAAAAUCCUCAGUUCUUUUCAAAUUCUUCAACUUGCAUUGUCUUCACUCCUUCCGUCGUUUUUCUUCAUUGGUUUAUAUAUAUAUGAGUUUAUGUCCUCUACAACAUUCACUUAUUGCUAAUUCUUCAAGCUAAUUUUUCUGCUAAGUGAAUGUGAUCGGACCCUUCCCCCUCUAUGCUAAACUCAACCUAGUCUGUUCACAAAUUCUUCAUAUGCGUUCUAAUUGAAACUCGUUCAAAAUAUUCACUGUUUCCUUGACAGCUAAAGAAAUUAUGAACGAAACCUAAACUAAUCUUAUCUGAAUUUUGGGCUUUGCCGCUCAAACCGUUCCGCAUCCCAUGACAAUGCUCAUCUAUUCACCCACGAUCCUACAUGAUCGCCACCUCACAGUACGUGGGUGACACAUGUCAAACGAAUGAGAAGGGCCAGGGGCACGUUCGUCCGAAUUCUUCGGGCGUACAAUUUUUCACUCUCACUAUAAAUACCCCUGCUUCUUCUUCACUUCAUUUUUACUCCGCUCGCUCUCACUCACACUCGAGCUUUCCAAACCCUAGCGCCGCCGCUACUUCAUCAUCGCCGAUGAGGAAGAGCUUCACUGCCUUGACCUCGUCACCGUCGUACUCGCGUCGGUUGCGGAUUUCUUCACUCCGCCACCGCCGUAGCCGUCUUCCUUUGCCGAGUUAGGGCGUGGAAGAUUUGAACUGACGAACUUCACAUCUACACUUCCCAGUUCGUCAUGUUCUUCAUCAAGGGGUAAUUAAAAGUUACUUUUACUGCCCUCUUUGAUUCAUGUGUUUUUCUUGAAAAUCUUCAAAAGUGUUUAUUCUUCAAAUCUUCACACACUAAACACCUCACAUGUUAUCUGCUCUUGAUUCGUUUCUCUAAGCGAUGAUUUUCUUCAAGAUUCCUCAAUUGUGUGGAUUUUCAAUCUAUACAACUCUGGAACCUAAGAUUAAGAACACUUAGUGAAAUUCUUCAAGACUCAUCUGGUCAAAUUCCUCAAACCUAAUCCUUUUUAAAACCUUCUGAGAACACAUAUGACCUCUCCAAAUUCCCCGCAACUAUACUCUGUUCACAUGUACUCAUGUCCGCUGCUGAAUCUCUAGGUUCUCAUCAACUUAACUCAUUUGGAGCGUUCCUCGAAGAAAAGUUGCAUACCUCUUCAGAAACUUCAGUUGUUCAUAUUCCUCAGCUGAAGAAAAUGGCUGAUAAGAAGCCACAGAAGGGAGGAAAGAGGCCUGAGGUCAAUACUGCCUUCGAAAUCCCUGAGGACAUUUAUGCUGGGUACUACACACCCCCUGUCGGUGUCAAAACCGGCGGAUCUCAGGUAGGGGGUCCCGAUCUGUGCGUCUUAGGCUGAUGGUAACAGGAAGCAAGGUACACAAUGUUUACCCAGGUUCGGGCCCUCUCGAUGGAGGUAAAACCCUACUUCCUGCUUGAUUAAUAUUGAAGAUAUGUGGAAUACAAGAGUAGAUCUACCACGAGAUCAUAGAGGCUAAACCCUAAGAGCUAGCCUAUGAUGGUAUGAUUGUAAUUGUGAUCGGCCUUCUAAGGACCAUGCUCUCCGGUUUAUAUAGACACCGGAGAGCUAGGGUUUACAUGGAGUCGGUUACAAGGAAGGAAACAUAAUAUCCGGAUUGCCAAGCUUGUCUUCCACGCAAAGGAGAGUCCCAUACGGACACGAGCCGAAGUCUUGAGUCUUGUAUCUUGACGCUUCUAUAGUCCGGACGAUGUAUAUAGUCCGGCUGUCCGGAUACCCCCUUAUCCAGGACUCCCUCAGUAGCCCCUGAACCAGGCUUCAAUGACGAUGAGUCCGACGCGCAGUCUUGUCUUCAGCAUUGCAAGGCGGGUUCCUCCUUCGAAUACUCCAAGGUGAUUAUCGAACACGUACGUUGUGUCCGAAUCUGCAAGAUGAUCUUCACACACCCUUAACAUAAAUCCGUUCUGCUGGCAAUCUUUGUAUGUCGUGCCCUUGCAUUGUGACCUGGUUCAACAUGAACCAGCGUUUCCUGCUCCACCUCGACUCGCGUUGUGAGGUGGUUUUAUCGGCACGUCCUGCCAAAGCAGAGAUCGUGUCCCUCUUAAUACGGGAUCUUUCAUCAAUAUGGCCAUAUGAGACCCCAUGGCGACUGUUGGUAUAAUCCCGUGUUUCAUUUUAGAUAAGUCUCAAGCGGUCACGCUAAGGACUCUUGGUAUUCAUCCCUUUUAUAAAGGGGUCGAGGCCUACUCCUCGUCUCCACCUCUCUUGCUCCUUCUCAUACCUCGAGCUCCAUCGCCCAAAGCCUAAGCUCCAACACCCCAGAUCCUCCAAUAUGUCCGGAUCCGACGCAACAGGCCGGUGGGUGGCCUCCUCGAUUCAGGAGGAGGAUAUUGAGAAGCUUAGGGAGGUUGGAUACCUAACUGUCGAUAUCCAGCACAGGCUUCCUGGUCCGGGGCAAGUCAUCCGCACGCCGGAGCCCAAUGAGAGCAUCGUGUUUACUCCUCACUUCCUCCGAGGCCUAGGCCUCAUCCUCGACCCCUUUGUGAGGGGGCUUAUGUUCUACUAUGGCUUGGACUUCCAUGAUCUGGCUCCAGACGCCAUUCUCCAUAUCUCGUCUUUCAUUAUCAUGUGCGAGGCUUUUCUCCACGUCAACCCACACUUCGGCUUAUGGCUAAAGACCUUCACUGUGAAGCCGAAGAUGAUCGAGGGGCGACAUGCGGAGUGCGGAGGCGCCAUAAUAAGCAGGAACGCCAAUGCCCCACGGCCAGAGGGUUCUUUUCUGGAAGUGUCCGACGUAUGGCAACGGAGAUGGUUCUAUGUCACCGCUCCCAGAGGCACAAAGUGGGUAGCUACCCCCGAGUUCCGCUCAGGCCCUCCAUCACAGUUGGCGUCUUGGACCGAUGUGGGACGGAGUUAUGGGCCUGCUGGCGAUGUACCAGAACUGCAGAAUCGCAUCCGGGAGCUUAUUAGGAGGGACAUAAAUCUUGUCAGCAUAAUUCAAGUAAUGCUAGUCCGGCGGAUAUUGCCGUGCAAACGUCGGCCUCUCCGUAUGUGGGAGUUUAAUCCGGAAGGUCCGCGUACUAUUAAGCACUUCUUCGGGUUGACGCUCGAAGGAAUGUGUAAACUAUUCUUCGGACCACAAGCAAAGUGUCCAGACACCAUCGAGGAUGUGGGCCUAAGCUGCAAUCGCCUAGAUGCCCAAGUAAGCAACCUUAAAGCCGGAUACUUCAUUUAUAUUUAUCACGAUUAUUAUUCUAACACCCCCUCCGCGACUAGGAAUGGCUCGACAAGGCAAAGAGAAUCAGGUGUCCGACGCCACUUCCUGAAGGCCCGCCUGGUCCAACCAUUGCAAAGAUGCUGGACCGGGCGCUCAGUAAAAUCCCUUCAGGGAAAGGCGAAGGAAAUGGCAGUGAAGCUAAACUUCAUGUGCUGCGCAUCCAGACCGGGGAAAUUGCUAACCCUCCUAUGGAGGAUAGCUGGGAAGGGAAGGUCAAAGCCUCCUCCCCACGUGGGAAGAAGAGGGCCGCCUCCGAAGAUUUGGAGGCGGAGACGCCCAAGCAAGGGAAGAAAACAUCACCAAGGGGCUCUGCCGCGACGGGCACCCUCACCACGCCAUGCCCACCAAUGGGCCAGCCCUCCAACGAGCUGUAAGUCAUUCAUUAAUUCAAAGGUGAGAUGUUACUCCGAAAUCCAUAACCAGGACUUUAUUUUUUUGUAGUCCGGCGAGCAACUCUUCUCAACAGAGUUCGUCUUCGGGGGACCUUUAUCUAGAGAUGAUGGAGAGUGAAACGCCACCCAACUCUCCGCCUCAUGAGGCGGGCGACAGAGAGGUGUCGUCAUGGAGGGGUCCGGAUAUACCGAAGCCGGAGGCUAGUACGUCAGCCGCCAAGAGCCCGGAGCAUUUGGCUCCCACAGGGGGCGAUGAGAAGGGUGCAGCGCAGUUUAGUGUCCGGCCGGACGUACCGAUGGGCCGUCUGGAGCGAGCCGCGCUCUCGUAGGAGCACCGCUCUUUAAUGAGCACGGUUCUCACGAAGAUUUCAUCCGCUACCAGCGGCUUGAAUGAGGCAUUUACAAGCCUGCUCAAAGGCUUUGAGGUAUGUAGUGAAAAAUGCACAACUUUUUGGUUAUGAAGCACGCACUAGGUGUGCUCCCUAUAGAUAGUAGCCCCUAGACUCUGGUUGCGCGCCAUAGGCGGCAAACGGGGGAUCAUAUACUAAUGGUUGCACCGUACAUGUGCGCAGGUAUACAAGGGUCCGGCAACCGACCAGUCUGUUGAAGUUGCCGAGCUAAGGAGGCAAAUCGGAUCCAUCGAUGCCGAUAUCACGCUGGUGAAUAAAUGGCUUGAGGAAUCCGAGGGUAUUUGCUUGGUUUUUAUUAUAAUGUACAGGAAAAUGCCAAAGAGGCAUAAUAUUAAUUCAAUAUGUGUGCACUACAGAUGGUGCUGCUGCCGUGGAGGCCCUAAGGGCGGAACUUGCUCAAGCCAAGGAACAAGCUCGGGCUAGCAAUGCGGCUGCCCUAAAGGCGGCCGAAGAGUUGAGAGCCGAACAGGCUGCUCGUCGCCGAAGCGAGGAAAAGAUAGCCGAAAUGGCUGAAGAGUUAAAAAAUGCCGCAGACCGGUACACACUCCUUGAAAAGGAGGACAAGGCUAGUUCGGCCGAGCUGGACAAGGCACGUAAUGCCGCCAAGGAGAUGCGUACCGAGAUCUGAAGUAUGCGGGAGGAGCUCCAACAAGCUGACAAAAUCAUGGCUAGGGGCUCGUACUUACUGCGGACGAAGUUCUUGGAUCCGAAGUAUGCUCCCUUGGCGGGUCGCAUGAGUCCUGCAGACGCAUAUGCGGACUUGGCGAAUAGUACAGCUGACAUUGUCAAGUUCUUCGAGGGUCAAGGCGAUGAAGAAGUGGAGAAGCUUUUCUGGUCGCAGUUUAAUGCUCCCACUCGCCCGCUGCCACUGAAUGAGAAGGUGGCUGCU